rnacentral:lncRNA from 1 species
UUUUUUUUUUUGUGCCAGAUAAUAUGAAGUGUCACCAACUAUAUCACCAUACUUCAUAUGUCCCUAAUUACUUGUCUAUUUAUGAAUUAACAUACCUAUUAAGUGAUAUAGUGAGUUUACCAUGUAAUUAUGAAAUAGAUGAAUUAACUUAAGAUUUUCAAGAAGUUUUACUAUUUUCAAAGUAAUUAAUUGAGGGUAUAAUAGGUAUAAAAAAAUUAUUCAUUCUUGAUUUAUCAAAAUGGACAAGUAAUUAGGGACAACUAAAAAAAAAAAAAAGGCAAGUAAUUAGAAACAAGGAAGUAUUAUUUUUCAACUUGUGAUGUGAAUACUUAAUUUUAAAAAUGACUCUGGAUUAAUAACUAGCGUAGUCGAUGAUUGAUAAAUUAAACCUAACCUUGGGGAUCGGAUUCAUACAGUGAAAUUGAUGUUCAAUAAAUUAAUAUUCCCUUCAUUCCUUUUUAUAUGUCACCUUUUUACUUUGCACUUGCAUUAAGAAAUAGUAUAACUUUAUCAUUCUACCAUUAUUUAAUGUUUUCUUAAGUCAACUUUAUUAAUAAAUGACAAGAUUAAUUAAUUACUCUAUCAAGGGUAUAAUAGGCAAAAUAUGAUAAUUUAUGUAUAAAUUUUCUAAAAUGACAAGUAUUGUGAUUCAACUAUUUAUAAAAAAUGAUGACAUAUAAAAAGGGAUGGAGGGAGUACAAUAUAUUUAUUUCGGGGGUCUAAUCACACACCCAAUCAUAUUACUUACUUUAUUUAUUAUCUCAAUUCCAAACAAGUUAGGACAAAAUAUACUCAAAAUGAAUUUUACUCCAUAUAAACAACUGUAUGUAGGGGUGUCAGUGGAACAGUUCAGUCGAUUAUUUUUUUUAAAUUAUAUCAUCUCAAUUUAUCGGGUAUUUUAUAAUGUAUAACCAAAAUUAGAUUUUUUUAACUUCAAUAUCGAUACGGUUUGGUUAAUAUUCGAUUUAUUUUUUACUCUUAAAAUAUUACCUCAAAUAUAUUACUAUUAAAAUAUUUCUUUCGCAAAUAUGUUUUUGAAAAACACUUCAAUUCUUCUCUAAGAAGUCAUGAAUGUAAAACUUUGUUUCCGCAUUGUCUAAUCUUAAAGAUUUAAUAGGAGUGCUUGCAUAGAUUUUGCUAUAUUGUUUGAUAGAUUUUCUAUUAUAGCAUCUUUUAAUUUUAAACCUAAAUAAAAAAAAAAAGCUAAUUAAAGAGCAAUGACCCAAAGUCAUCCAGUCACCAGAGGCGGAGGACCUAGGUUAUAUUUAUAGUUGAAAAAUGUUAUAAAAUAAAUUUAUAUGUACGUAAGGUUAUUCGGUUUAGUUCGAAUUUUUUUUUGGUUUUUUUCAUAAAUUAAAAAGAUCAUCUCAAUUGUUCGGGACGGUUAUAAACUAUGAUCAAUAUUCAUGAUUUUAUUGAAACAAUGAUCCGAUUCAAUUAGGUUCAAUUGAUUCGGUCGAUUUUUCAUGUUCUUUUGACACUCCUAACUGUAUGGUUAAAUUCCAUUAAUAACAUUUAUCAAUUUAAAUCAUAUCAAUACUUACGCGAACUGGAAUUACAAUAAAUCUAACCAUCUUUUAGUUUUGCGAUCUUCAUGUAAUUAUGUCUGAAACUAAUAUAAUUUCUACUUAAUUUAUUUAGAAAAACACAUAUAUUAAAAUAUACUCCUAUGACUAAGUCGUGUUAAUUUAAAUGAUUUUAAUACUAAUUUUAGCCAUUAUUUGUUUAUAUUAAAAUAAAAUUAAGACUCACCUACUAUAUUGUUUCUUUAAAUAAAAUUAAAUGUCACCAACUAUAUCAAGUAUUAUUUUUCAACUAAUGACAUGAAUGCUUAAUUUAAAAAAUGACUUCGGGUCAAUAAUUAAGUGAAAUCAAGUUUGAUAUUAUUUAUUUAUGAAAUAUUUUAAUGGAAGAUAUAACUGUAAUAUUAAACGGAAAUUAAAUCCUUAUUCCUUCUAUUAUUGAGAAGUGUUUUUUUAUGCCAGAUGAUAUGAAGUGUCACCAACUAUGCCAAUUAUUUUUCAACUUGUGAUGUGAAUACUUAAUCUAAAAAAUGACUCUGGAUUAAUAAUUAGUGUAGUCAAUGACUGAUAAAUUAAACCUAACCUUGUGGAUUGAUUCAUACAGUGAAAUUGAUGUUCAAUAAAUUAAUACAAUAUAUUUAUUUCGGGAUCUAAUCACACCCUCAAUCAUAUUACAUACUUUAUUUAUUAAAAUAAAUUAUGUCUCACCAACUUCAGUAAAAUCUCACUAAAUUAAUAUAGGAGAGACCAUAAAAUAUUACUAUUUUAUAGAUGUAUUAUUUAAUCAAUAAAUUAAUAUUUAUUAAUUUAAAGAGUGUUUCGACACCGCAAUAUUUGUUCAGGGAUGAAAUCUCAGAGAAUUUAAUAAACUCACUUGUGAAAACAUCAUUCAUGAACUCGAGGUCAUGAAUUUAAUGAUCUCGAUUACUGCAAUAAAAUGGACGUUAAUAACUUGUUUGAUGAGUGAAAAUGAUACAUGUUCAAAGGUCCAGCGCUUAGAAGAAAUUGUGGAUACAAUUGAAAAAAAUAAUGUUGAUGAUAAAGUUGAAGAUGAUACAAUACCUUUGGAACCAGUUACGCAUAAGGAAACAUUUAUCGCAUUUAGAAAUCUUCAUAAUUUUAUGGUGCAGUUCGAAAAGACAACACCGAAACUUUUGGAUGUAAUAAGAAAAGUUAGAGAUGAGCUUCAACUAGAUUUAAAUUUUAACAAAAAACAUAAUACAAUAGAAUCAUAUUUCACUAAAUUGUCUUAGAUAUAUUUGUACUUUUAAAGAAUUAUUAAUUUAUAAUAUUAAUGAGACCGUAUAUUUAUAUAGGAGUCUUCUGAAAAUAUAUUAUCUUAUUAUUUUAUCAAAAUGAGUGAUUAUUUUCAUUGGUCCAAUCGGGACCGGAGAAAUAUAUUAUUUUAGAGAGGUUAUUAAUUAACCAAGUAUUGAUUUAGUAAGGUUUUACUGUAUAUUAUUUUUUUAAAUAAAAUUAAGUGUCACCAACUAUAUCAAGUAUUGUUUUUCAACUAAUGACAUGAAUGCUUAAUUUAAAAAAUGACUUCGGGUCAAUAAUUAAGUGAAAUCAAGUUUGAUAUUAUUUAUUUAUGAAAUAUUUUAAUGGAAGAUAUAACUGUAAUAUUAAACGGAAAUUAAAUCCUUAUUCCUUCUAUUAUUGAGAAGUGUUUUUUUAUGCCAGAUGAUAUGAAGUGUCACCAACUAUGCCAAUUAUUUUUCAACUUGUGAUGUGAAUACUUAAUCUAAAAAAUGACUCUGGAUUAAUAAUUAGUGUAGUCAAUGACUGAUAAAUUAAACCUAACCUUGUGGAUUGAUUCAUACAGUGAAAUUGAUGUUCAAUAAAUUAAUACAAUAUAUUUAUUUCGGGUAACCAAGUAUUGAUUUAGUAAGGUUUUACUGUAUAUUAUUUUUUUAAAUAAAAUUAAGUGUCACCAACUAUAUCAAGUAUUGUUUUUCAACUAAUGACAUGAAUGCUUAACUUAAAAAAUGACUUUGGAUCAAUAAUUAAGUGAAGUCUAGUUUAAUAUUUUUUUUAUGAAAUAAUUUAACGGAAGAUAUAAUUGCAAUAUUAAACGGAAAUUAAAUUCUUAUCCCUUCUAUUAAUUGAGAAGUGUUUUUUAUGUCAGAUAAAUAUGAAGUGUCAUCAAAUAUAUCACCGUAUUAUUUUUCAACUUGUGAUGCCAGGAUUGAUUCAACAAGGGUUCUAUUUUUUCAUCAUGUAUACUUUUAUUUAAAAUCUAUUUUUCUAGUUUUUUUUAGAUGUGAAGUCAUGAAUAACUAGUUCAUAAUCGAUUUGUUUUAAUAAUUCCUUUUUAAUCGAUAAUAUAGCUAAUUCAUUCAAUUAGCUCUCUUGAGACAUUAUUGAUCUUAAAUAAGAUUUAAUCAAUUUUAGUUUUGAAAAACUUCUUUCGGCUGAGGCAAUUGGGUGAAAGAACUUUUAACAUUAUUCUAAAAGCAAUACAUGUCAAGUCUUUUUAUUUGAUUGAGUAUUUUUAUUAGAUCAUUAUCUUUUACUUGUAUUAUUUCUCUUAGCACUUUUAAUUCAAAAAACAAAUCUAAACCAUCAAUAUCAGAAUAACUAUUAUGUGUUAAAGAAAGUUCAAGGUUAAGACAAUAUCUUUUAAAUUCUCAUCAUCUAGUGAUCUCAAUAUACCACUAAAUAUGAAACCAAAAAUAUUUUCAUAUGCUUCAAUUGGUUCAAAUUUAUUUUGAAGUGAAUAUAUUUUACUCUUAUUUAGAAAUGACAGCUAGAAGGACUAACACAACAUCAAAUAGAUGUACCAAAGGUAAUACAAGUUGUAUUGUAUUGGGGCCCACCUCAUUAAACAAGUACUACUCCCCACUCAUAUCAAGACACAUGUACUAUGUAGGGAGUUAGGAAGGACCAACAAGGACAAAUAUGUAAUUUUCUUAAGCUUACCCUACACAUAUCACAAAGACACAUGUACUAUGUAUAACACAUAGAUGUUUUUUAUAUUAUCUAUGGAUUGAUCCAUUUUCCCCUUACAGUCUUAUCAUUUCAAAACCGUUAAAUUUCUCUUAUUUUUCGAGUAAAUAUCUCAAAAGAUCAUCCAACUUUGAGAAAUUAUAUUGUAAAAUUAUUCAACUUUAUUUUAUACUUCUUAUUUAUAUUACUCCUUAUUAGAAGUGAGACUUAGAGGACGAACAUGACACUACAAAGUUGUACACAAAGCAUUUCAAAUUGUACUAUAAAAUUCAUUGUUGCUCAUUAAUUGUACACGUGUCUUUCUACAGAUACAACAACCUACAUGAAUAAUUACUUUUCUGACUUUUUUUCCUCAGUUUCUCUCUCUAUAAAUUUUUAUUUUUUUUCCAUUUUUUCUACUUUCCAUUCUCCCCUUUUACUCUCUUUAGUUUAUCUUUGAUCUUAAAUUUUUCAUAGAUCUUUAAAAUAUUUUGAAUUAUUAAUUAUUAUGAAUUAUAAUAUUUUGAUUUUUACGUAGUUUACAAAUAUAUAAAUUUCAUUUUAAAAAAAUUGAAGAUACCAUACGCAAAUUUACGAUCAAACUUAAACUAUUUGAUUCUCGAGAAAUAAAAAGUGUCACAUAAAAUGGGACAGACGAAGGAUAACUCUCAAUUAAAUUUAUUUCACUUUUUAUUUUCCAUUUUUAACAUAAUUUUUCAAGUUGGAUUUCUAGGAAUUCUAUUGUAGACCCAUUUAAAUUAUACCAUUUUGUUUUAAACUAGAGAAUUUGGUCACACUUCGCGCGAUCAUUAAAAAUUAAAUAUUUUUGAUUAAUUUUAUAUUUACUCUGUUGUUUAAUUGUAAUAUUAUUGUUUGUUUUAGUACUAUGAAGAUUGUGAAAAAAAUAAAGCUUUUCAAAUUUUACAUCUAUUAAAUGAGGAAGAAUAUAUUUUUUAUCAAAUAAGUUAAAAUAUAUUUGCUAAUAACAAAUUCUUCCAUUGCAUGAAGUUGAUCCUUUAAUAUAUAAUAUAUAUUUUGGUGUACCAUUCUCCUUAAAAUGUCUAAGAAAAUAUCUCGUAAAUGUGAAAUAACACUGUAAUACUCCCUCUAUCCCUAAUUACUUGUUCACUUUUAAAUUGACACAUAUAUUAAGAAAUCAAUUAAUCAUAUAGUGAGUUUAUCAUUUAACCCUAUUAAUUAUGAAGUAGAUGAAAAGUUCUGCAAUUUUCAAAGUAAUUAGUGAUUUAAUUGAGAGUGUAAUAGGUAAAAAAUUUUGCUCUUUCUUGAUUUGUCAAAAUGGACAAGUAAUUAGGGACAACUAUAAAAGAAAAAAGUGAACAAGUAAUUAGGGACAGAGGGAGUACUAAACAAAUGCAUCAGCAAAUGAAAUUUAUAUUAAAAAUAUAUUGAAUAAUGACAUAAUGAUACCUUGAUAGAAUUUCCUAUCUAUUUUUUUGAAAAAAAACUUCACCCUUUCAAUUUUGUUAUAUCUUCUUAUUUAGUAGAAGAAUCAUCAUUUAUUAUAUUCUACUCCACCUUAAUUUGUACCAUUAGAGUUUUAUGAAUAAACAUUAAAUUUUAAAUCGAAAUAAAAAAUCAUUGAAAAAUGACAGAAAAAAUAAUAAUAGUAUAUGAAAAUUAAAAUAAGGUGUAAGAAAAGCCUUUUCACGAUAAUUUUUUGAAAUGUAUUGAUAACAAUUAAAAUGGAGCUAUUAUUUUUAUCUUUAAAAUUAAGUUUGAUUGAAUUGAAUUAGUACAAUGAGAAAAAAUAUAAACUAAUAACUUUUUAAUGUUAUUAAAUGCAUUUUCUUUUUAAUUGAGUAGUAGAUUAAAAGUUCCGAAUUAGGAUAUUAAAAUAAUAUCUUACUCUCUCCUUAAUUAUUAUGGUAUUGCAAACAUUUAUUUUCCUUAAAUCGUGAUUCAUUUUCCAUUUACAAUUAUAUCCAAUUAAUUUCUAAUGUAUUGAAUGUAGUUAUGGGAUAUUGAAAUAAUAUCUUCAUUUUUCCUUAAUCAUAAUAAAAUUAUAAUUUAACAUUUAUUUUUCUGAAAUGAUAAUUUUGUUUUAAUUCCUAGAACAUGUUGUUUACUAUAUUGAAUGUAAUUAUAAUAAAACAUAUUGUAUUUAGUAUGACAAAAGAACUCAAAAAUUGGAGAAAUUAGAUAAAUAGUAAUCUUAACUUCUAAGAAAUGUCACAUCAUCAUUUACAUAUCCAACUUUAUAUAUAUAAAAGAGUUAAAAAAGAAAAAUUAAGUGAUUAAACAAAAUUAUAUAAAUAACAUUAAUGAUGAGAUGAAGAUUAAGAAAAAACGUCAAAAAAAUUAGUAGUAUUGAUGAUGAUAAAAGUUAAAUAAAUCAUUUUUUCUAUUAUUAAAAUUUUUAACAUAAAAUUUCCAAACUUUUAAAAUUAAAAAAAAAUGUUAAAAAAAAAUUCAACGCAAUAAUUAUUUUAAAGAAAAAUAUAACCAAAAUUGUCAAAAAAAAUUAAUAAAAAUAAAUAACUAUCUAUUAGUAAGAAUGGUACUACAUUUUCUAUUUUAACUUCAUUGUUACGUAUGGAUAGAAACUUUUACAAGAAGAAAUGAUCCAAAAAUUUAAAAAUAAUGAUUCCUUAAAUGGUGAUUCCUUUUCCAUUUACAGCUUUUCAAUUAAUUUUUAAUGUAUUAUAUAUGGUUAUGGAUAUUGGAAUAAUAAUUUUAUCUUUCCUUAAUCAUAAUAAAUUAUAUUUUAACCUUUGUUUUUGUGAAAUGAUAAUUUUCUUUUCAUUCGUACAACAUAUUGAUUAAUAUAUUAAAUGUAAAUAUAAUAAAACAUGUUGUAUUUAGUAAGACAAAAGAAUUCAAAAUUUUAAAAAAUUAAAUAAAUAGUAAUCCUAACUUCUAAGAAAUGUCACAAAUAUAUAUAUAUAUAUNNNNNNNNNNNNNNNNNNNNNNNNNNNNNNNNNNNNNNNNNNNNNNNNNNNNNNNNNNNNNNNNNNNNNNNNNNNNNNNNNNNNNNNNNNNNNNNNNNNNNNNNNNNNNNNNNNNNNNNNNNNNNNNNNNNNNNNNNNNNNNNNNNNNNNNNNNNNNNNNNNNNNNNNNNNNNNNNNNNNNNNNNNNNNNNNNNNNNNNNNNNNNNNNNNNNNNNNNNNNNNNNNNNNNNNNNNNNNNNNNNNNNNNNNNNNNNNNNNNNNNNNNNNNNNNNNNNNNNNNNNNNNNNNNNNNNNNNNNNNNNNNNNNNNNNNNNNNNNNNNNNNNNNNNNNNNNNNNNNNNNNNNNNNNNNNNNNNNNNNNNNNNNNNNNNNNNNNNNNNNNNNNNNNNNNNNNNNNNNNNNNNNNNNNNNNNNNNNNNNNNNNNNNNNNNNNNNNNNNNNNNNNNNNNNNNNNNNNNNNNNNNNNNNNNNNNNNNNNNNNNNNNNNNNNNNNNNNNNNNNNNNNNNNNNNNNNNNNNNNNNNNNNNNNNNNNNNNNNNNNNNNNNNNNNNNNNNNNNNNNNNNNNNNNNNNNNNNNNNNNNNNNNNNNNNNNNNNNNNNNNNNNNNNNNNNNNNNNNNNNNNNNNNNNNNNNNNNNNNNNNNNNNNNNNNNNNNNNNNNNNNNNNNNNNNNNNNNNNNNNNNNNNNNNNNNNNNNNNNNNNNNNNNNNNNNNNNNNNNNNNNNNNNNNNNNNNNNNNNNNNNNNNNNNNNNNNNNNNNNNNNNNNNNNNNNNNNNNNNNNNNNNNNNNNNNNNNNNNNNNNNNNNNNNNNNNNNNNNNNNNNNNNNNNNNNNNNNNNNNNNNNNNNNNNNNNNNNNNNNNNNNNNNNNNNNNNNNNNNNNNNNNNNNNNNNNNNNNNNNNNNNNNNNNNNNNNNNNNNNNNNNNNNNNNNNNNNNNNNNNNNNNNNNNNNNNNNNNNNNNNNNNNNNNNNNNNNNNNNNNNNNNNNNNNNNNNNNNNNNNNNNNNNNNNNNNNNNNNNNNNNNNNNNNNNNNNNNNNNNNNNNNNNNNNNNNNNNNNNNNNNNNNNNNNNNNNNNNNNNNNNNNNNNNNNNNNNNNNNNNNNNNNNNNNNNNNNNNNNNNNNNNNNNNNNNNNNNNNNNNNNNNNNNNNNNNNNNNNNNNNNNNNNNNNNNNNNNNNNNNNNNNNNNNNNNNNNNNNNNNNNNNNNNNNNNNNNNNNNNNNNNNNNNNNNNNNNNNNNNNNNNNNNNNNNNNNNNNNNNNNNNNNNNNNNNNNNNNNNNNNNNNNNNNNNNNNNNNNNNNNNNNNNNNNNNNNNNNNNNNNNNNNNNNNNNNNNNNNNNNNNNNNNNNNNNNNNNNNNNNNNNNNNNNNNNNNNNNNNNNNNNNNNNNNNNNNNNNNNNNNNNNNNNNNNNNNNNNNNNNNNNNNNNNNNNNNNNNNNNNNNNNNNNNNNNNNNNNNNNNNNNNNNNNNNNNNNNNNNNNNNNNNNNNNNNNNNNNNNNNNNNNNNNNNNNNNNNNNNNNNNNNNNNNNNNNGAUAGAUUGGACUCGUGCUGACAUUUAUGUUUUUAUUUUUUAAAUUUUUUCUUUUAUACUUUAUAUAAAUAAAAUUUUUAUGUAAAAAGUAUUAUAAAUCAUAAUAAUUAAUAGCUUAAAAUAUUUGAAAACANNNNNNNNNNNNNNNNNNNNNNNNNNNNNNNNNNNNNNNNNNNNNNNNNNNNNNNNNNNNNNNNNNNNNNNNNNNNNNNNNNNNNNNNNNNNNNNNNNNNNNNNNNNNNNNNNNNNNNNNNNNNNNNNNNNNNNNNNNNNNNNNNNNNNNNNNNNNNNNNNNNNNNNNNNNNNNNNNNNNNNNNNNNNNNNNNNNNNNNNNNNNNNNNNNNNNNNNNNNNNNNNNNNNNNNNNNNNNNNNNNNNNNNNNNNNNNNNNNNNNNNNNNNNNNNUAAUUAUUGUGAUUUAUAAUAUAUUUACGUAAAACAUACUCUAAAUAAAAAUAAUUAGCAACUUAAAAUAUAUAAAAACAUAAUAAAAAAUUGAUUAACUUCAAAUUUCAUAUGUACCACAUAAAUUGAAACUGAAACAGUAAUAUAUAUUGGGCCCCGUGCUAGCACGGGGUCCCAUAUCUAGUAUAUAUAUAAAGUAAUCAACUCUAAUUUCAAUGACUUUGUGAUUUCGUUAUCAAUAUUUUCAUCAAAUUGUUUCUUACGAAAUUUAGGUUCUAUAUUCAUCUCAUAUGUAAUUUCCUUGAUAAAAAUCAUAGCACUCAUAGUACAUAUAAUUUAUUUUUUUCCAAAACAACAUUUAUAAGUAAUUUUUUUUAAAAAAAAAAUUGGGGGUCCCAAAAAAUAUAGGGUCCUAAACGGUGACUUUAGUGGCCUAGAAAUUAAUACGGUCUUGUGUGAUGUGAAUGCUUAAGUUAAAAAAUGACUCUGGAUUAAUAAUUAGCGAAGUCAAUGAUUGAUAAAUUAGGGUCGAUUCAUACAUACAGUGAAUCUGAUGUUAAUAAAUUAAUCCAAUGUUUAUUUGGGGGACCUAAUCAUACACUCAAUCAGGGCAGGACAUAAAAUAUCGAAAACUGAAUUAUCGAAUUAAAUUAAUUUUUUUGGUUAUUUGGUAUUUAGUAAUUCGGUAUUUGAUAUGGUAUUCGAGAGUAAAAUUUUAGAAUUUUGAUAUUCGAGUUUGGAUUUGGUACAAGACAUUAGUAACAUUUGGUAUUCGGUAUUUCCUGAAUACCAACUUAUUUACUUAAUGAAGGUCAUAUAUCAACAUAUUCAUUACUCAUUAGUACAAGUUCAAAGAGAAUGUUAAAGAAUAAGCAUGAAUAAUUCAAAUACAUGUCUUUUAGUUGUAUCAAUUUGCUUUUCUUGAUGUCUUCUUACUUGUUGACACACCUAAGAUAGAAAUGACUGACACACCUAUUAAGAAAACAAUAAUUGACAUAGUGAGGUUACCAUUUUACCCCUAUUAAUUAUGAAGUGGAUGAAUUAAAAAAUUUAGAUUUUCAAGAAGUUCUACCGUUUUCAAAGUAAUUAAUUGAGGGUAUAAUAGGUAAAAAAAAUUGUUUUUUCUUGAUUUGUCAAAAUGGAUAAGUUAUUAGGGACAACUAAUAAAGGAAAAGUGGACAAGUAAUUAGGGACAUAAGGAGUAUUAACUUUGUAAUACAAUUGACUAUAACUUCAAUACGGUAUUAUCGAAUACCGUACCAAACCGAAGUUUAAUUUACUAUUUCCCGAAUUACUAAACCAAAAAUUAAAAUUUUGAUAUUUAGUAUCUACUUUUAACUAUCAAUUACCGAAUUACCAAAUCCGAAAUUUGAGAAACCCGAACCGAAUACCAAAUAUUCACCCCUACACUCAAUUAUAUUAUUUACUUUAUUUAUCAUCUCAAUUCCAAACAAGUUAGAAGAAAAUAUACUCAAAAUGAAUCCUAUUCCACUAAUAACAUUUAUCGAUUUGAAUCAUAUGAAAACUUAUGCAAACUGAAAUUACAAUAAAUCUAACUAUCUGUUAGUUUUGUGAUAUUUAUGUAAUUAUGUCUGAAACACAUCUUUUAUAAGCAGAAACUAAUAGAAAUUCUACUUAAUUUAGAAAAACGCAUAUAUUAAAAUAUACUCCUUGGACUAAGUAGUGUUAAUUUAAAUAAAUUUAAUACUAAUUUUAACCAUUAUUUGUUUAUUAAAUUAAAAUUAAGUGUUACCAACUAUACUGUUUGUUUAAGUAAAAGAGUAAGUGUCACCAACUAUAUAUAUUACAAUAUUAUUUUUCAACUAAUGACAUGAAUGCUUAAUUUAAAAAAUGACUUUGGAUCAAUAAUUAAGUGAAGUCAAGUUUAAUAUUUUUUUUUAUGAAAUAAUUUAAUGGAAGAUAUAAUUGUAAUAUUAAACGAAAAUUAAAUCCUUAUUCCUUCUAUUAAUAGGUGAUACAAGGCAUAUGCAUAUUCAUAGGUGAAACAUGACCGAAAGACAUAUAAAUACAUCUAACAUUAAUGAGUCUAUUUCCUAAAUUCUAAAAUCUAGGAAAUAUUAUUCAACGUUAAACCACAUAAAAGCAAGCAUUAUAGCCAUUAAAAAUUCAAGCAACAAAAAAAAGGAUAUGCUCUAUUUCAAGGUACAUCAUUCUGAUAGCUUCAAAAAGAGGGCAAGCCUUGCUAUGCACUACAAAAAAUCAGAACUUCAGUGACAACUUUUCGUAGUGACUUAUCUUAUCCAGUGGUGGAUCCAAGAUUUUCGUUCAAGGGGUUCAAAAAAUAAAAGUAUAAACGUGUAAAUAAGCCUUUAGAAAUGAGAACCUUGAAUUUUUGUGAGUUUAAAACCACACUUUUACCACGUUUUUUAAAGUAAAAAAAAAAUGAAACUGAAAAAGAAAAAAUUAAACAGAACAGAGAAUUAAAAAAAAAAACUAAAAAAAACUGAAACUGAAAAAGAAAAAAUAAAAUACUUUCACUAGGAUUUGAACUAGUGACGGCACGCACAACUUAAUUUCAAGGAGACUUACCACUGCGCUAUCAAUUUUUCUUUGUUAUUGAAGGGGUUCAAAAUAUAUAUAUAUAUAUAUCUACAGAAAUACAAAAAAUUUAGUUUAUAUAUACAUUGUAAUUUUUUGCCAAGGGGGUUCGGGUGAACCUCCUGAAACCCAUGUGGGUCCGCCCUUGAUCUUAUCGCCAUAAAAUGAGAUGGAUUAGUGGCAAAAAAUAAUGCUGCCAUAAAAUGUAUAGUUUUAACAUAUUAUUGACGACUUAAUCACCGUCGCCAUAAAUAAUCCUACUAAAAUAUGCCUGAAAAAUUAAUUGGAUGCGACGAAGAAAUUGUCGCUAUAAAAGGUCUUUUGGCAGCAACUUCAUCGCCACUAAAGAAGAUUUGUUGCAACUUGGUAGUCUUCACUAAUUCUGUUGGUUUUAUAAAGAUUUUGGUUGUAAGUUCAAAGUUUUAUUACUAAUGUGUUUGGUCCAUUAUUUUUUACAAAAUGUUUCAAUCACGUAAAAUUUAAUUAAUAAAAAUAGUAGUGAACUUUAUCAUAAAUAUAAAAAAGUAUCUAUUUAUAGGAUAAGUUAAUUUUUAAAUAAUAAUAUUUUAUUAAUGACAAUUAAAACUCAUUUAUAUAUCUAUAUAGACGAUAAAAUAAGAUAGAAGUGAAACUUAAAUAUACUUAUAUACAAUACACGAAUAUAUAAAUCUAUAAAAAUGAAAGAAACAUAUAAAUAUUUUUCCUCGUACCAAUCACAUGUGUACAUCUUUGACUUAGUGAUUGUGAAAAAAGAAGAGAGAUCGACUUUCAGCCAUUUGGAUAUGGAAAAAUAUAAUAUGGGGUUUAUAUUGAAAGUAAAAAUUGUCGUGCAAAUUCUUGCCAAAUAUUAACAGACAUCAAAUACAAUCUACAUUUAAUUUGAAUGAAUUGUGGAUGGUAAAUUUCAUGCAUAUGUGUAUGUGUAUAGAUGAUCAUAUAAUAUUAUUUCUGAAGAAGUUAGAUUUGAAAAAAGUGAAUGAAGUUAAAAAAAAAAAUAGAGAGACAAGAGAGAGUAGAUCAAAUGGUAAACACCCCGAGUCUCCAAGAAAGCAAGAGUUCUUGAAGAGGGGUUAAAAGUAAAAUUGGGAUUGGGUAAUAUUGAAAAAAAAUUCUUUGUGUAUUUGAAAAGUGGAAAGUAUUGUAAUUGCAAUUAAAUAAUAUAAUUAAAAACAAAAUAAUUAUUCAUUUUUUCCAAUAUUUUACGUAUUUGUGGAUGAUUUUCGUGGAAAUUUUAAUACGUUUUACGACGUAGUUCCUCCGGAAUCUAAUGAACAACAACGAUUACUUAGGAUCAACUUGCGAAUUUGUGGCAUUGUGGCGGUAUAAGUCGCCACAAAAACUAAAUCUUUGAUGAUGGCUUGUGCUAUUGCCACAAAAAAGUAUAAGCUAGCCAACGACCCAUGGAUCGCUAUGAUAUAUUAUGUGGCGAUAUUUUUACUUUCUGUGGCGAGUUAUGUCGCCACAAAAGAUUCUUUUCUCUCGAUCUGGUGACUGUGACUUUUGGUUAAUGGUUUGUUCAAGUCUUCUAUUUAAUCAAAAGGAUAAAAUUUUAUUUUUCUCGAUUAAAUGAACAACUUUUUAGAUUAGAUAAAAUACCCAAAUUUACUUGUGAGUGAGAUUCUUCUCAUCUUCAAAAACUUACAAAUAAGAUAAUUAAAUCUAACUUGAGCUUGACUAUUAUUUUGUCAUUUUAUCCAUUGAAAUAAAAAUAAAAAUGAAAGGUCAUGUUGUCCUUUGGAAACUUCAAAUGGUUCAAGUGUGGCACAUCUUUUUUCUUUUUUAAAUAAAGAAAUUUUGCGAGAAGUCUUAUAAUUUAAUUUCUUUAUAUGAAUUUGGCCUUACUUAAUCUGUUAAAAUAAAUUAGUUUAGUAACAAAUUGUUCAGUUUUCCAACUGUUCUUAUUUGUAUUAGAGAUUCUCACUCACCAACUAUAUUAUUUCUUCAAGUUAAAUUAAGUGUCACCAACUAUAUUACAUUAUUAUUUUUCAACUAAUGACGUGAAUGUUUAAUUUAGAAAAUGACUAGGGAUCAAUAAUUAAGCGAAGUCAAGGAUUUAUAAAUUAAUCCAACAUGUUUAUUUCGGGAAUCUAUGUAACGACCGGGUUCUUUCGUUAUAGAAAAGUCAAUGGGGAAAAUUUUUUGGGUCAGAAAAUUUUUCGUAGUAACUUGAAAUUUCCCAACCUAGUCCAGAUUUGGACGAAAUCAGAGUCAUUAAGGUGUAGGGAAAUUUGGUAGCAAUCGGGGGACUUAUUUAUGAUUUUGAUUACAUGACUAGAUAGCCAAUGUGUUAAGGAAUCCGUACGACUUUACGGAAUUGAAUUCGGGUGAGUAGAACUCCUGAAAAACUGACUUUGGCAUGAACAGUAUUUUCUGAGUGUCGUUGGUUGAAGGUGUGUUGUGAAAUGAGGAUUUUGAGAAUUAUUAAAUAGCUCACUGUCUCGUGCAACCCGCUUUGGCAGGGAUUUUGGUCUCUCUGGCGAGGCCGUUGUAGCGGGGUGAGGGUCGCAGUGGCGGGCCCUACGCGACUUAAAGUCGUAAAUAAACCCCAAAAAUGUUUUAUUCUGCACUUUUCAACUUUGAGAGCUAAGGAACGACCCCAUAAGACUUCUUGACCGUUUUUCACCAUUCUUGAGGCUAAAGGUAAGAUUUUAACUCCCCGAAUCCAUUUUUCGAUCCAUAUACUGUAAUCUAAUGGGUAAAUAUUGAUGAGAGAGGGUUUUGAUAUAGAAUCUAUGGUGGAAACAACCCUAAAUUGGAUAAUUGGGAUCAUNNNNNNNNNNNNNNNNNNNNNNNNNNNNNNNNNNNNNNNNNNNNNNNNNNNNNNNNNNNNNNNNNNNNNNNNNNNNNNNNNNNNNNNNNNNNNNNNNNNNNNNNNNNUAUGUAUGUGGAUGUUGCAUUAUUGAUCACAUUUGUUGUAAAUGAGGAUAUAUGAUUGUCGAAUGCCAUUGAAUCAUGAAUUGAUUGUAUGAUUACGAGAAUGUACUUGUGUUUGUGAUUGUGGUGUGUUGAAUGGAUCGGUUGCCACGUUCCAACAUAACUAAUUAGGAUCGGUUGCCACGUUCCGGCAUAAAUAUGGGAUUGGUUGCCACGUUUUGGCAUAAUCUUUGGAUCGGGUACCACGUUUCGGUAUGCUAACUGUUUGGGUUUGAGUUCCAUGAGAGGACCAAUGACUUGUCAUAGUUGUGCAUCUUGUGAAGUUGUACGUUGUUCGUAAAUGUUGAUAAUAUUGUAUAUGUUCAAUAUAUGCAUGUGAUUAUAUUGUUGUAUUGAUUUAUGUAUGUUGAACUUAGUGGGAUAGCCGCGUGCUCCUACCAGUACACUGUAGUUGUGUACUAAUACUGCACUUGCUCUUAUUUUUGUUGAGUACAGGGCAUCUUCAGGCGGUUAUUGACAGACCUCAUUUAAAAGAUCAGUGAUCUUGUUCGAAUUAAAGGGUGAGCCAAUUCUUCCGGGCUGCCAUGUGUUCUCGUUCGUCUAUGUCCACCUUUUCUGACUUAGAUUUUCUAGUUAGUUAUUAGUGCAUUAGUUUGGGGUUGUAUCCCUUCUUGUUUAGACUUGUUGAACUUUAGAUGUUUUGGUACAUUGACUUUCAGGUUCUAGGUGUUACUUCCGCAUUUGUUUAGUUGUUAGACCUUUUGUUGGAGUUUAUGGGAACUCCUUAUUUCUUUUUUAGCAUUUGACUUGCUUCCGUAACUUAAAUGACUGAGUAUUUUGAUUAAAGUUUGUUAGCUAAUUAGUAUUAAUGGUUCUCCCACUGAAGGGUUAGUGUGGGUGUCAAUCACGAUGGUCUGGAUCGUGACAAAGUUGGUAUCAGAGCCUAGGAUCGUUGAUCUCGAUGUUCCAAACGAGUCUAGUAAAUUCUCGCGGAACGGUACGAAGAUGCCUUUACUUUUCUUCGAGAGGCUAUAGAACUUUAGGAAAUCUCUCUAUUUUUUUCUCUUGUCUCCUUUCGUGCUAUAACUUGAUUCUAAUUGAUAUAUGUCGAUUCAAAUUGGUAUCUAACCUCCUCAGUCUUCUGUCCGCAGAUGGUUAAUACUAAAUUCAACGGUGUCAGGCCCAUAGUUUUCGUCAAUGCUCCAACUGAGGAAUCUGCAGUGAGAGGUUGCGGUCGAGGCAGAGGUAGAAGUCGUGGAAGAGUAACUUCUGCUAGAAAUAGAGCUCCUGUUAAGAAUGCUCAUAUGAAUGAGAACCCUUCUGCGCAGCAUGAAGAGAUAGAAGAGAAUGUUGAUGUUGAGAAUGUUGAGAAUAUUGAAGAGGUUGGACAAGAGGAAGAGGUGCAUGCUGGAACUACAAGUGUUCCUCCCUUAGACCUAGUGUUAGCUCAACAUAUUAUGUCAUUCUUGAAGGGAUUGGUUGGUCUUGGAGCACUUCCCUCUGUUCAAGCGGCUCAGGCUCUCGCCCGUCCUCCUGUUGCUAACAUAUCCCCCAAGACGGGUGAAACUUGAGGUAAUGAUGUUUUCUUUCAUCCUUUGAUGGGUUAUGUUAUGACUGGUAAUGAACAUGAAAUGUUGACUAAGUUUUUGAAGCUAAAGCCUCAUGUGUUUCUUGAUUUUGAGAAUGCGGAUGCUUAUGAGUUUAUCUUAGACUGCUAUGAGAGGCUUCAUAAGUUGGGAAUUGUCCAUCAGCAUGGGGUUGAGUUCGUGACUUUUCAGCUUCAAGGUGAGUGUCACACCCCAAAACUGGAUGUGAUGGCACGUGCCCAAACCCCACCGGACACGUCAGCCUAACACCCAAACCCGACGAUACGGAAUUAAUAAACAAGAAUAAGAUAGAAAGAUAAGCGGAAGUCUUUAAAUAAACUCAACAUAACCCCAGAAUUGGUUGUCACAUGUACAAACCUCUAAUACAGAAUCUGAAUAAAAUAUACAAGUCUCAUAGUAAACUUCUAGAAUAGAACAGAACAGUAAAUAUAGAUAACUUGAGGGCACGUCUGGAAUGAACCGCUACUUGCUCAAGUAAGUCUGGAAGCUCUAAUCUGAAGAUGAGUAAUAAGCCGGAUCUGAUAGAGCUGUCAACCUACACAACUGUGUAGAAGCAAACGUGAGUACCAAAAGCAACAGGUACUCGCAAGUAACACUAAACUAAGCUAAACUAGCAGCUACAAACAACUCCUUUCAAUCCCAACCGAACCACCGAAACUUCAUUCUAACAGCGAACCAACAACCUAUACUACACAAUUCAUAAUCAACAGAUAUAUCCAACAGUAUCUCAACAUCAACCUCAUAUCCUCAUAUAAGAGCAAAUAGAUCAUAUAUCACAUGAAGAGGAGCAAGUAGGUAAAAUCCACACACCACAGACAAAGAUGAAGUCAAAUGCGAUGCAAAUGCAAUAAUGAUGUCAUGUAGUCGUGAUGCAUGUCUGUCCUAAGAUACACAUCUGUUGACGUAAUUCAGACCGCGCUGAAUACUCAAAUCAGAACCCAUGGGGGCCACACAUGGACCAUGUACCACCGCCGGAACCAGAUCCCAUCGGCAUCCAAAUCGCUAGCCGGAGCUAGUCCAUCUCAUAUAUCUCUAGCCGGAGCUAGUCUCAACUGUGUCUCAUAUCCAUCCAUCCUCAUAUCAGUGUCUCAGAACUCAUGCAACAGAUAGUUCACACAUGGGAUGAAUAAUGAAUAUGCACAUGUCAUCAAUCACAAUCAUAUCACGAUCACAUCAUAAUAUUACACAUCAUCUGUCUCAACUCAUAUCAGUGUCUCAGAACUCAUGCAACAGAUAGUUCACACAUGGGAUGAAUAAUGAAUAUGCACAUGUCAUCAAUCACAAUCAUAUCACGAUCACAUCAUAGUAUUACACAUUAUCUGUCUCAAUCACAACCAUAUCACGACCACAUCAUAGUAUUACACAUCAUCUGUCUCAACAUCAAUGUCUGUAUCAAUCAUAGCCUACUCAUGCUCUUCUAUCCCCUCAAUAUGAGUUAUCACAUGACUUAUUCAACAAAUUCAAGUCACAUAUAACACAUUUAGCUCGUUUUAUUCCCCAUCUUUCAAUUACAACAAUUUCAAUCAACAAAUAAAACUCAUCCUCAAUCCCCAUUACUCCCCACCACAAUUAGGAAAGUAGUCAUGUGUAGUCUAAGAGUUUAACAAAGUUUAGAAGUCACUUGCCUCAAAACACUUCAACUAGUAACUCAAAUUUGAGUUUUACCCUUCCGAGCACGCUCCAAAUCACCACAAUCCAAUGAAUUCCUUGCGAAAACCCACUUGAAAUCACCUAUUUUCGAGCUCUCAAAGUCUAAAAAUGGAGAAAUGGGUAUUUUUCAAGUUGGGGGAGAAUGACUAUUGGUUUUGGCUUUAAAAAAAAGAAAAAAAACUGCUGUUGCAGCUUAAAAAAAACUACAGCAGCUGAAACAACAUAUAACACCAAAGUUUAAGUCCCCGUUGGACCCUCGGGAUUCGUUCGGAAUCUCGUGCACACAAAAUAAAUAUGUACCCGCACUAAAUUUGACGUUCCGGACUCAAUGGAACUGUCGGAAUUUGAAUUCGAGGACUCCUUGACCCGAAAUUCAAUAAGAUGCCAAGAAACUAGUUUAACGCCAAAAAAAUUCGAAACUCAAACGGAGCGUCUAAAAAUUCAACCAAGACUCAUUCUAGACUUAGAAUCGCCUCCCGAAACCAACGGUACUCUCGGAAUUUCAAUCUGAGCCUCGGAACCUCAUAUGUUGACCAAAGUCAACUCUUUAUCAAAAUUUCACAACUUUAGCAACUUAGGACCUCAAUUCUUCGUUUCAACUCCAAAUUCAACUCCAUAACUUCACACAGACCCGUUUCAACUUUCUAAAACUGUCGGAAUCGACGAAAAUCUGAUCCGAGUCCCGAAACUCCAAAUGACUCGAAAAAGCACUUUUUUAUUUUAACCAACUUUAACUCAUAAAAAAACUCAACUUUUUACCAACUUUUCCUCAAACCAACUUUACAACCACAAAACAUGGGACUCGGGGCAACUACCGAAAGGGCAAAAUAGUCAUUUCCACGAAAAAUCACCAAAAUGACCUUCCGGAUCAUUACAGUGAGGCUAAGCAGUGGUGGAGAGCUUAUAUGGAAUGUCGAUCCUCUACUUUACCUCAACUUACUUGGACCCAAUUUCAAACUCUGUUUCUAGAUAAAUAUGUGCCUAGGACUAUGAGGGAUCGAAAGAAGGAUGAGUUCAUGAGUUUGGAGCAAGGUGGUAUGAUUGUGAUUGCUUAUUAGGCGAAGUUUCAUGCCUUGUCUAGAUAUGCUACUCAAUUGGUGACUACUGAGGAAGAAAGAAUCCGAUUAUUUAUUAGGGGACUAAAUUCUAAGUUGCAAAUAUUAUUUGUUCAUAUGACUUCUGCAUGGAGGAACUUUAAUGAAGUAACAGACUAUGUUAAGAAACUGGAGGGGGUGAGGCGUGACAGUCAAGCCAAGGCGUUGGCAAAAAGGGCCAAGAACUCAAGUAACUUUCAAGGUUCUUAUUCCAGAGGUUCCGGAAGGCCAACGCUUGCAGCCAAUCCAAAUCAGUUUGUUAUGCUCGCCUCUACAGGUAAUUACUCGGGAACUCCACCUCAUAAUUUGAGUCAGGAUAGCCAGGGAGUCGCACCUUCAGCGGGCAGCAGACAUCUUUUGAUUGUAUAUGUUAUAACUAUGGUGAACUUACGCAUAUGAGGAGAGAUUGUCCCUACCCACGUGUGUUUGAGUCCGAGCAGCAGCAGACUAAAACGAUAGUGCCCACGGGAAGUGGUAAUAAUGGUCGAGGUCGUUCACAAGGUCGGCGAGGAGGUAAUCAGCGGGGCCGUGAAGGAAGAAAAAAUGGUAAUAUAGGCAGGGAUAAUAUGCAACCAGGUAGAGAAGUGGUUCGUCAAGAUGUUAGGGCUCAGUGUUAUGCCUUUCCGGGCAAGAAUGAGGUAGAGGCAUCUGACGCGGUGAUUUGUGAUCGGAUGACUAAUGUGUUAUUUGAUUCAGAUUCUACUUAUCCUUAUGUAUCUGUGCGAUUUGCCUUAGAGUUUGAUAUGAUUUUUGAUGUACUUGAUGCCCCUAUCCAUGUUUCUACCCCAAUUGGAGAGUCAGUCAUAGUCACCCAUGUCUAUCGUGCUUGUCCUACUUUAUUUAUGGGUUUUCAAACUUGGGCUGAAUUUGUGAUUUUGGAUAUGACUGACUUUGAUAUUAUCUUAGGCAUGACUUGGUUGUCUCCCUAUUAUGUUGUGUUAAAUUGUUAUACUAAAUAUGUAACUCUAGAAAUUUUGGGAAGGGAAAAAUUAGAGUGGAAAGGGGCGUACAAGCCUAAGCAAGCUAAGAUCAUAUUCUCCAUUCAGGCUAGGAAACUGGUACAAUUAGGUUGUUUAGCUUAUUUGGUUCAUAUUUGGGAUGUUGAGGUUGAGUCUCCAUCUAUUGAGUCUAUUUCUGUGGUGUCAGAAUUUAGAGAAGUGUUUCCUACUGAUUUGCCUGGUAUGCCUCCAGAUAGAGAUGUAGAUUUCUGUAUUAACUUGGAACCGGGUACGCGCCCCAUUUCUAUUCCACUACAUCGUAUGGUUCCGGAAGAAUUAAGAGAACUUAAGGCUCAAAUCCAAGAGCUUCUUGAUAAAUGAUUUAUUCGACCUAGUGUUUCCCCAUGGGUUGCCCCCGUUUUAUUUGUUAAGAAACAUGAUGAUAGUAUGAGAAUGUGUAUAGAUUACCGACAAUUGAAUAGGUUCACUAUUCAAAACAAGUAUCCUUUACCUCGAAUAAAUGAUCUUAUUGGCCAAUUGCAAGGUGCAUCAGUUUCUCUAAGAUUACUCUAAGGUCUGGUUACCAUCAAUUAAAAAUUAGGCCUGAGAAUGUGCCCAAGAUGACAUUUAGGACUUGUUGUGGGCACUAUGAAUUCCUAGUUAUGUCUUUUGGUUUGACUAAUGCGCCUGCAACUUUCAUGAGUUUAAUGAAUGGAGUGUUCAAGCCAUUUCUUAAUUCAUUUGUUAUAGUAUUUAUUGAUGAUAUUUUGGUCUACUUGAAAAGUGAGGAAGAGCAUGCCGACCAUUGUUCUGGGUGUUCUUGGGAAACAAAGGUUGUAUGCUAAAUUUUUGUGUGAAUUUUGGUUGAUUUUUGUUGCAUUUUUGGGGCAUGUAGUUUCGAAAGAAGGGGUAAUGGUAGAUCCUCAAAAGAUUGAGACGGUUAAAAAUUGGGUUCGGCCUAGCUCUGUGACGGAAGUUAGAAGUUUUGUGGAACUCGCUUGACAAAUUUGACUAGAAAGGAGAUACCAUUAAAAUGGACUGAAAAAUGUGAGGAUAGCUUUCAAAAGCUCAAGACUUUUUUUACCACCACACUUAUUCUAGCAUUACCGUUGAAGGUAAGGAUUUUAUUGUUUAUUGUGAUGCUUCAUAUUCUGGUUUGGGUGUUGUGUUAAUGCAGGAUAAGAAUGUUAUAGCCUAUGCGUCGCGCCAAUUGAAGGUGCAUGAGAGGAAUUAUCCAAUGCAUGAUUUGGAGUUGGCUGCGGUAGUAUUUGCUCUUAAGAUCUGGCGGCAUUAUCUUUAUGGCGUUAAGUGUGAAGUGUUUACUGAUCAUCGUAGUUUGCGACAUGUGUUCACUCAAAAGGAUUUAAAUUUGAGACAACGACGGUGGAAGAAGUUGCUUAAAGAUUAUGAUGUCACCAUUCAAUACCAUCUGGGUAAGGCUAAUAUGGUGGCAUACGCUUUGAGUUGAAAAACGAUGAUUAUGGGGAGUUUAGCUUGCUUAAGUGUAACUAAACGACCUUUGGCUAAGGAAAUUCAGACCUUAGAGUCUAAGUUCAUGUAGUUGGGUAUCUCAGAAAGAGGUGGGGGUGUUAACUAGCAUUGAAGUAAGGGCAAGGCCAAACAAUUUGAGGAUGAGAAUUUGAAUGAACUUAAGAAGAAGACUGCAAUUGGUAAGGCACAAGAGACCACUCUUGAUGCAGAAAGUGUGCUCAAUUUUAAAGGGAGAAUCUAUGUACCUAGAGUAGAUGACUUGAUAAAAAAAUUAUUGGCUGAAUAUCAUGUUCGCGAUAUUCUAUUUAUCCGGGUGUGACGAAGAUGUAUUGAGACUUGAAGCGAAUUUAUUAAUAACUGGGCAUGAAAAUGGAUAUAACGAAGGUUGUGGCUAAGUGUCAAAAUUGCCAACAAGUGAAGUAUGAACAUCAAAGGCCUGUAGGUUUGCUUCAAAGAAUGCCAAUUUUGGAAUAGAAGUGGGAAAUGAUAGCCAUGGAUUUUGUGGUUGGUCUUCCCAAGACUUUGACGAAAUUUGAUAAUAUAUGGGUAGUGGUUGAUAGAUUGACCAAGUCAACCCAUUUUAUUCUGGUAACAAUAGAUUAUAAUGCUGAACAAUUGGCUAAAGUUUAUGUGAAAGAGAUAGUGAGGUUGCAUGGGGUGCUCUUUUCUAUCAUCUCAGACCGUGGUACCCAAUUCACAUCCAAGUUUUGGAGGAAAUUGCAUGAUGAAUUGGACACAUAACUCAUUUUUAGUACAUACAGACGGACAGUCAUAGAUGACUAUUCAAGUGUUAGAAGACAAGUUGAGGGCAUAUGUGAUUCAUUUUGGAGGGCAUUGUGAUAAGUUCCUACCUUUGUUUGAAUUCUCCUAUAAUAAUAGUUAUCUCUCCAGCAUAGACAUGGCACCAUUUGAGGUACUUUAUGGGAGGGGAUGUAGAUCACUCAUAUGAUGGUUCGAGGAUGGAGGUGUGAAACCUUUGGUGGUUGAUUUAGUGAAGGAUGUUUAAGAUAGGGUGAGGGGUAUUCGAACUAAGCUUCUAGCAGCCCAGAGUAGACAAAAGAAGUAUGCGGAUCAUAAGGUAAGAGACAUGUCGUUUCAAACUAGUGAGAAUGUUCUUCUUAAGGUAUCACCCAUGAAAAGGGUGAUGAGAUUUGGCAAAAAGGGCAAACUAAGUCCGCAAUACAUUGGUCCCUUUGAGGCUCUUGAAUAUGUAGGGCCGAUGGCGUAUAGAUUGGCUCUACUUCCUAAUCUAUCUGGUGUUCAUCCGGUAUUUCAUGUGUCCAUGUUGAAGAGAUAUCAUGGUGACAAGAUUACAUCAUUAAAUGAGAUCAAUUGUGCUAGACAAAGACCUCAAAUAUGAGGAGGAACCGGUUGCAAUUCUUGAUCGUGAUAUGCAUAAGUUGAGGACCAAUGAGAUUAAGUCCGUGAAAGUUCAAUGGAAGCAUCGUCCAGUUGAAUAAGCUACUUGGAAAACCGAGAGAGACAUGCAAGACAAGUAUCCCCAAUUGUUCGUCGAUUCAGGUACUACUUUGUUAUUUCCUUAGCCUAUUUUCCCUAAGUUUGUCACUCGAUGACGAGUGAUGGGUAAAUUGGUAUCUAUUGUAAUGAUCGGGUUUCGUCGUAAUAGAAAAGCCAACGGGGAAAAUUUUUGGGUUGGAAAAUUUUUCGUAGUGACUUGAAAUUUUCCAACCUAGUCAAGAUUUUGACGAAAUCGCAGUCAUUAAGGUGUAGGGAAAUCUGGUAGCAAUGGGGGGACUUAUUUAUGAUUUUGAUUACAUGAGUAGAUAGCCAACGCGUUAAGGAAUCCGUACGACUUUACGAAAUUGAAUUCGGGUGAGUAGAACUCCUGAAACUGACUUUGGCAUUAAUUGUAUUUUCUAAGUGUCGUUGGUUGAAGGUGUGUUGUAAAAUGGGGGUUUUGAGAAUUAUUAAAUAGCUCACUAUCUCUUGCAACCCGUUUUGGCGGGGAUUUUGGUCGCUCUGGUGGGGCUGCUGUAGCGGGGUGAGGGCCGCUGUGGCGGGCCCGACGCGACUUAAAGUCGUAAAUAAAUCUCAAAAACAUUUUAUUCUGCACUUUUAGACUUUGAGAGCUAAGGAACGACUCCAUACGACUUCUUGACAGUUUUCACCAUUCUUGAUGCUAAAGGUAAGAUUUUAACUCCCCGAAUCCAUUUUUCAAUUCAUAGAAUGUAAUCUAAUGAUUAAAUAUCGAUGGGGGAGGGUUUUGAUCUAGAAUUUAUGGUGGAAACAACCCUAUUUGGAAUAAUUGAGAUCAUGGGUUGAUUUAGGGUUUGUUAAAAUUGUUAGUAAUCCAGGUAAUUAAUGAUUAUUCAUUGAUUCCCGUAUUAUAUUGAUUGUUUGUAGAUCAAGAACAAGCAGAACGAAUUCGUAAAGGAAAGGAUCAAGUUUCUUAAGGUUUCAAGCUUGUUUUGAGGUAGGUGAUGGUUGUGAUUCUAUGAUUGUGUGAUGUAUGUUUGUCUUGCUUCAUUAUGAUACAUGUAUGCAUGUGGAUGUUGCAUUAUUGAUCACACUUGUUGUAAAUGAGGAUAUAUGAUUGUCGAAUGCCAUUGAAUCAGGACUUGAUUGUAGAUUACGAGAAUGUACUUGUGUUUGUGAUUGUGGUGUGUUGAAUGGAUCGGUUGCCAUGUUCCGACGUAACUAAUUGGGAUCGAUUGCCACGUUUUGGCAUAAAUAUGGGAUCGGUUGCCACGUUUCGGCAUAAUCUUUGGAUCGGGUACCACGUUCCGGUAUGCUAACUGUUUGGGUUUGAGUUCCAUAAGAGGACCAAUGACUUGUCAUAGUUGUGCAUCUUGUGAAGUUGUACGUUGUUCGUAAAUGAUAAUAUUGUAUAUGUUCGAUAUAUGCAUGUGAUUAUAUUGUUGUAUUGAUUUAUGUAUGUUGAACUUAGUGGGUUAGCCGUGUGCUCCUACCAGUACACUGUGAUUAUGUACUGAUACUGCACUUGCUCUUAUUUUUGUUGAGUACAGGGCAUCUUCAGGCGGUUAUUGCCAUACCUCAUUUAAAAGAUCAGUGAUCUUGUUCGAAUUAAAGGGUGAGCCAAUUCUUCCGGGCUGCCAUGUGUUCUCGUUCGUCUAUGUCCAUCAUUUCGGACUUAGAUUUUCUAGUUAGUUAUUAGUGCAUUAGUUUGGGGUUGUAUCCCUUCUUGUUUAGACUUGUUGAACUUUAGAUGUUUUGGUACAUUGACUUUCAGGUUCUAGGUGUUACUUCCGCAUUUGUUUAGUUGUUAGACCUUUUGUAGGAGUUCAUGGAAACUCUUUAUUUCUUUCUUAGCAUUUAACUUGCUUCCGUAACUUAAAUGUCUUAGUAUUUUGAUUAAAGUUGGUUAGGUAAUUAGUAUUAAUGGUUCUCCCACCGGAGGGUUAGUGUGAGUGUCAAUCACGAUGAUCUAGGUCGUGACAAUCUAAUCACACACCAAUCAUAUUAUUUGCUUUAUUUAUUAUCUCAACAGAAAUAAUAUUCAAAACUCAAUUCCAAACAAGUUGAAGAAUACAUACUUUAAAUAUUUUAUCAACCUUUCUUGCCCUUUUAAGUUUAAUAUUUUUUUCAUGAAAUAAUUUAAUGGAAUAUAUGAUUGUAGUAUUAUACAAUUAAUCUAUCUGUUAGUUUUAUGAUCUCUACAUUAUUAUGUUUGAAACUAAUCUUUAUAAGCAGUAAUUAAUAGAGAUUCUAGUUUAGUUAGAAAAAUACAUAGUAUAUUAAAAUAUACUCCUUUGUUCUAAGUUGUUCAAUUACAAUUAAGUAGUGUUUUCAUCACAAAUUGGUUUUGUUUGUUUUAAAUUACUGCUGAAUAUAAACUAAUUAAUAUUCUAGCAAAUAUUACUCCCUCCAUUUCAAAUUAAUUGAAUUGUUGAGAUAUUUUUCAUUUUUCAAAUUAAUUUGAUUGUUCAAUUUUCAAGAUUACUUUUGAAAUGUUCUUCCAAUUUUACCCUUCAUUAGUUAAUAUUGGAAUUAGUUAUUAAUUAGUAUUUAGUUAUUUUAAUCAUAAAUUUGAAAAUAAUUAAUAAGUGUAAAAAUGAUAAGUUAUGCUUAAUUUAUGUUUUAAUCUACUUUUCUUAAAGGGUGUGAAACGCCUCAACCAUUUAAUUAACGAAGUCUUUGUCUUAUGUAAUAUUUUAAGCACGGCUGCCAUUAGAGUUACUAGUUAUAAUUUGUUGGUGGUGCUUAAAAAAUUACAAAGACAAAGACUUCUUUAGUUAAAUGGUCGUGGUGAGAUAAUAAUUUUUUUUAAAAAAGGCUUAAUUUAUGUUAUUUACUCUGUUUAUUUUUACUUAUCCAUUAUAACAAAACAAAAUUUUCACUAUUACUUGUUAUUACUUUUGACAUUUUUAGAAAUAGACAAUUGUUUAAUUUUUUGUUUUACCCUUAGCAUUAAUUAUAUAUUUUCCAAGACUUAAUACUCCCCCCAUUCCUAUUUAUAUGUCACCAUUUUAGAUUUCAUGUGCAUUAAGAAACUAAGUAAAGUUACCAUUCUACCCUUAUUUAGUGUUUUUUUGAAGUCAAGUUUUCAAUCAAUGAACACGAAUUAAAUUAUUUUGAUUAAUUAAUUUGACCAACGAACAUAAAUUGUUUAUUUAGUUUUUCUAUGUUGGUCAAAUGUAUAUUUUCAGAGCUAAUUAAUAACUCACAAAGGUAAAAUAGAAAGAAUAUGGUCAUUUAUGCAUUGAUUUUGCGAAAGACGACAUACAAAUAUUAAUGGAGGGAGUACUAAACAUCAAUUAAUAAGAAUAAUAAAUAAUCAUGUUAAUCAUUGUUUUGUUAAUGGAUGUGUCAAGUCCAAAUUAAAUAUGAUAAGUAAAUUGAAUUGAAGAAUUAUUUGACAAAAGAAGAAGGAGAAACUACCUAAUUACACAAAAAAUUCAUACCUUAUUAAUUCUCCAUGUAGUUAUAUUUUAUAUCACUAAUUGAUAAUUUCAUAUCAUAUCCCAAAUAUUUGCGAAUCCACUUAGAUAUAGUAUAUUUAGAACAAAUUACACCUAAUUUUGAUUUGUGUGUAUAUCCCAAAUACUUGUCAUUAAUUAUUUAUAAUAGUGCUAAAAAAUAAAGUCAACAUAAGAUAAAUUGUACAAUUAUGUGCUUAUAUUAUAUAGAGCUAGAAAAGAAAUUAAAUAUGUGAAUUUUUGGUUAGUAAAUUAAAGAUGGCAGAUGCAGUAAUGACUUUGCUUGUGGAGAGCUUGUGUCAACUAAUCACUGAAAAAGUGAAGCUGAUUGGAGGUGCAAAGGAUGAGUUGGAUAAUCUGCUGCAAGUAAUUAACACACUGAAAGCAUUCCUUCAGGAUAAUGAUCAACAAGAAAGCAACAGCAAUUCGUGGAAAACAUUUGUGAAGAAUAUCCGAACACAAGCGCAUAAAGCUGAUGACGUUAUUGACAAAUUUGUACUUGAGGCGAAGCUGCAUGAAGAAAAAAAUAUAUGGAAAAAAACUUUAUCUUUCGGCAGGCAUAUCAAAAGAGUUAAUAAUCUUGCAAAAGGUAUCAAAGAUAUCUGUGAGAAGGUGAAGGUGAUUCGCCAAGAAAAUCCACAAGUUCUCCAGCCCAGACCAAUGCUAAAUCUACCCAGAAGACUUGCAAGGGAGCCUCAGGUAAAUUAUAAAUAAAAAGAAUAUCACUUGAUUUAUGUUGGGUAUUAUUAUAUGCCCUGAGUUUCUUACCAAAAUAGAUUUUUCUUUUAGAAAAAAGUUUAAUAUUUUGACGGGUCCUUUUCUUGUAUGAAAGGUAGGUUUAGACUCUAUAAAUAUAGAUUUGUUCUUUCUAACUUAAUCAACAUUCACAAUGUAAUUCUAGGGGCUUUGACAAUUUUCGUUAGGGGGAGAAUUAGUACUAGGUUAUCGCUUGUGUGAACUUUCCAUGUAUUCCGAGUGAAUUUGUUUCUCUCUAUAAUUUUUACUCUCAUAUUUAUAGUGGAUUGCUCAUCUCCUUUGUGGAUGUAGGUCGACUGACCGAACCACGUUAAUUAAAUCUUUGUGUCUUUUGAUAUAUUUCUCGUAUGUCUUCUUACUCGUGGUCUUUCUAAUUUGCUUUGCUAGCUUCCACAUGACAUCUGCUUAUUUCGAUCCUAACACAACUCUUGUAGGCUCCAUCAAUAUUUAGUUUAACAUUAGAGCUAGAGAUAGCAGAAUUUGGAGUGUACAUGAAUUCCAAGGUUUAUGGACAUGAGAUGGGCUUUGGGAAUUUGUCUAGUAUUGACCUUCAUUCUUCUUUUAUUCUGCUAUUCUUUUUUUAUAUUUUUACCAACUGUUUUACUUUAAUUUUGAAAAUUUGAAGAGUUUUUUUUAUAGAUAUUUUAAAAAUCAUUAUAGAAAAUUUGCAGAAAAUCAAGCAAUUAUAAUAGUUGUUGCAUAACUAUUACAGUUGUUGUAGUUGCCGCAACAACUACGAUAAUUGUUCAGGCUUUCAGCAACUACAAUAGUUGUUGUAGAAGGUAUUGUAAUUGUUGCAACUUCAACCGCAGUUUGAGUUGCUGCAAUAAUUGUUGAAAGGGAAAAAAAGCAUGAUAUACCCCUUAAUUUUGUCAUUAAGAGUUGAUAUAUCCAUCGUUAUAAAAGUAUUUCAUAUAUACCCCAUAUUGUUACACAAAUGACUCACAUAUACCCUUUUCUUCUGACGGAAGUGAAAAAAGUAAUUUUUUGUUAAUUUUUUAAUCAAAAAGAUAAUUCAUGUAAGGUAUAGUUAAUCCUUCUCACACAUUUUCUUUUUUUACUUUUUUAAUCCAACUAUUAAUUUGAAUUUAUUAUUUUGAUGGUCAAUUUUUUUCACUUAUUUUCUUGUAAAAUUUAUUAUGAAUGCUCCAUUUUUUUUUGCAUAGUGUUAUAUAAACUAAAUUACAAUAUAGCCACAAAAAAAUUAAUUUUAAUUUUUUUUUCCUCUUUUUUCAUUCACACUCCUUUUUUUAUGUCUCUUAUUUUUUACACUAAUGAAUGAAAGAAAAAAAAAAUGAAAUAAGAAUAAGAAACUUAAAUAAUACAUAAAUAAAGAAGUCAAAAAAUAAUUUAUGUGUGAAAAAGAUCAAAUACAUGAUUUUUUAAGAAACUAAAAAUUAAAAAAAUAAGUUAAAAUUAAUUUUAUCAUUUUUGUAACGGUAGGGAUAUAUGUGAAUCACUUUUGUAACGAUAAGAGUUAUAUGUGAGCCAAUUUUGUAACGAAAGAGGUAUAUGUGAGCCACUUUUGUAACAAGGGUAUAUCGGCUCUAAAUGACAAAGUUGAGAGGUAUAUCAAGCUAUUUUUCCUUGUUGAACUUGUUACAACAGACGGUGAUUGUGAUGACAUGUGUUGGUAUUGGUGUGACAACAAAAGAGGCAAUAGUGGUGAUGGAGGAAGAAGAAGAAGAAGCAGUGGAGGUGGAGGAAGUGACGGUGAUUGAGGAGGAAGAGAAGAAGGUGGUAGAAGAGUGAGAGGAGGAGGUAGUAGAUGUUGAAUCCCUCUUCGGCUACUUUGUGUUUCUAUUUCUUCAGAUUUUGAACCCCCUUAUUGAAAAUCUUGUUUCCGCCAUCGGUGACGACAACAACAAUAGAAGGGGUGGGGACAACGACAUCAAUAGAAGGGAGGGAGGAGAAGAUACAAUCUUUGUGUAGAUUAUAAAACUUGAGGGUUUUAAAAUUAGUGUUAUUACCGUUUUUUUUAAAGCAAAUUUACCACUAGACAUUGUCUAGCGGUCUUUUAUUAAACAUAAAAAAUAUCAAUAGGGACAAGUACAAGCAAAGGGGGCUAGGCCUUACCUUACUAAUUCUAAUGAAAUACCUAACUUCUGCUACCUAACAAGCAUGAAGAAAACAAGAGUUAGAGAGAACUAAGUAUUUUCUGAUCAUCAUAGAGUUUGUAAUACACUCCAUAAUGAUAUUACAAAUGAGGAUGCUUAAAUAAUGUAAAAUAUAUCAAUCAAGAAGAAAGUUGAGUUACCAGCCUCAAACUUUCUAUUACAAAAGCAUGAAUUAAAAAAGAUUGAUUGUCCAUUAAAAGUAACUUGAAAUAUUUUUCUCUUGGUCUUCUUCUUCAAACCUAUCCAACAACACUUGAUGAUUCAUACCUGAAUUUAUUGGAUCUAGUUGAACCUAUUGAUACUGUCAAAUGGUUUUGCUUUGCCCUAUCGCAUUGGUAGGUGCCUUGGAACAAACUCCUCAGUCAUUUUACCGUCCCAACUAUGUUGCCUUCCAUGUGUCUUCUUUUUGCUUUUGUUGCUUCCACUUCUUUGUUGCCUAGGUGAUAUAUCCCCUUCUCUAGCCACUCUAUCAAAGCAAAUGUCCAGAAUAUUGUCUCUUCAUCUUCAUCAAGAGAAUCCUCGCCCAAAUCCACUCCAUUUUCAUCAAGAGAAUUCUCACCCAAAUCAAUUGUAUUUGACAUUAAGGCCUUUGACUCAUUCUUCUUUGCAAUCACACAUUUAGGCACAAAUACGAGAGCUUCUGGACUUAAUUUUCUAUUUAAAGUAGGUGGUGAGACUUGUUUUUUCUUGGAUUAAAUCAUUGUCAUUCUCGGUUAACCUUACUUGCUUUUCAAUAGUCUUCAAUAAAGCAUCAAAGGCGCUAUUCAAACAUAAUAGGUCUCUUGAGGUAUUACUAGUAUCUUGCCUCUUCUCACUGUCAUGAAAAUUUCCAGUCGGACCCUUUUCACUACAUGGAGAAUUAUUUUGACUAGUAGGGGAAAGGAUCCAACUACUAGUUGAUUUGUUGUGUGCAACUAGUGUCUAGUUUUUGGUUGGAUUUUUGUUUUCAACUUGCAAAACAUGCUGCCCAGAAUUUUUAGCAUCUUCAACAUCAGAUGUAUCCAUUAGUUUUUGUCCUGAAUCCAUUAAUUUUUGCCCUGAAUCAACUCGCGGCGCAUCAAUCCCAACUCUUGGUGUUCCCCCUACGUUUUUAGUUGCAUUAGACCUCAAAUUCAUCCCAACUUCUUUUGAUUGCACCUCAUUAGUAGUAGCAUGUUGGUUAUUGCAAUCACCUUUGUUUUCGGUAGUUGUUUGAACACCAAUAUUACUUGUAUCAACAUCCAUUGAGUCUACACGAUUUUGCUCGAAAGUGGAAGCAACCAAUUGUCGAUCUAAAGAAGUAGCUUUACUUUGAUCGACAUCUACAGUCUUUCUUUUCUCAUUUAAUAUUUCUCUUGCAUCGCCUUGAUACUUUUCACUAUUGGUAGUACCUUUUAAAGCACCUUCAAUGGUAUCAUUAAUUUGUUUGUUAUUUUGAUUUCUUUUUGAAAUCAAACGACAACUAUUUUCAUCAUGACCUUGGUGCUUACAAUAAUUGCAAUACAAUGGUAGAUUAUCAUAUACAAUCUCCUGAAAAACCUCAAUCUACUUACCAGAUUUUUCAUCCACAAACUGCAAUCUUAUACGAUUUGGAAGCUUUUCCAUUAGAUCAAGUAUAACCUUGACCCUAGCCAUGUUAGGUCUUGACCUGAUUUGAGUAGCUUUAUCUAUAGCUAUUGGUUUCCCAACUGCUGAUGCUAUAGACAACAAAGACUCGUUUGCUAACAAAUCUAGAGAUAAGUUCGGUAAAGAAAUCCAAACCACAUCUAACGUCGUUUCCUCCUUAGGGUUAUAUCCAAUGGAUCAUGGAAAAACCCUACAUUGGUGCUCGUCUCCAUUGUAGAGAAGAUAGUUAACUGAGCGAGAUAAAACUAGUACAUAAUCUUCAUAUUAAUCAAACCUCAACAAAAUUUGUCUUGGAGCAAGUAAGCCAAUUAAACAAUUGCCCUUGGUACCAAGAUGUUUCGGUAAAAUUGACCUUAAUACCUUCAAAUCUAGCGCACCAUGGGAUAAUUUAAACACCAUUGCUUGAUGUAAACCCUCUUCGAUCAUAAAGUCUUGGUUUUCUUCCAUUGAAAACGUGAUAGUAGGUUCUCCAUGAAUUAUUUCGAUUGAUUUUACAAUUGUUUUGAGUUAAUUAGGGCAGAUUGUUUAGGAUUUAUAGUAUUGGAAUUGAAAAGGGUGGCGUAUGUGGUGGUUUAGGGUGGUGGGACGGGCUGUACAGCCUCGAAAGGAGGCUGUCCAGUGGCCGUACCAGCCAUGAUAGAUGCGCAGCUGCUGCCUAUGUAGGAGCCACCAGAAACCCUAGGUUGGCAGUUUUUCCGUCGCAAAUAUUUGGACUGGCGCUCCAGUGAUUCUGUGUGUUAUUACCAUUAAUCUUACUAAAAACUGUUUUUUUUUUCCGAAUUUAUACCACUAGACAAAGGGUCUAGGCGGAAAAUAUUUAAGCCCAAUAAAACAUGAGAAAAAUUGAAAAACAUUUAGUGAAAAUGUUUUCCUUCCUACCAAACACACUAAUUUAGUGAAAAUGUUAACGUUGUUUCUGAACAUGAUGAUAGUUAUUCUCUUUUGUUUUUGGAUUAAAUAUUUAUGAGAUUUCUUCAAAGUUGCUAAAUUAUAUUACUUGUAUGGUGGUUUUAGUUGUUAUUGCAAAAAUGAAAAGAUUUUGAGCUCUGUUUUUUGACAUAUCCAAUCUUAAUAGGCUACAUUCUUGGAGGUUAGAAAUAUCGUUGGGUUCACUACAGAAUCAAAUGAAGUGAUGGAGCGGCUUGUUGGAGGAACAGAGGAGGUAGAAUGCAUACCUAUUGUGGGUAUGACUGGACUUGGCAAAACCACACUGGCAAGAAAAGUAUGGAGUGAUUCUCAGAUUACAGCUAUAUUUUCCAAGAUCAUUUGGGUUUCUGUCGGACAGUCCAACGAACUAGAGGAUAUCUUUUUUGUGAUUCUCAAAUCAUCUACGGGACCCAAUCAAGAAUUUCGCUUGACUGGUGAGAAUGAACUAGCUAAAGUAAUAGCUAGUUUUGGGACUGAACAACACAGGUGUCUCAUUGUGUUGGAUGAUGUGUGGGCGAGUGAACUUGUAGAUUUUUUCAAAAAUGUUCUUCCAGAAAACAAGAAAAGACAUAGGAUCUUGAUGACCACUCGCCGCAGAGAUUUGGCUAGCUGUGCAAGUGAAAGACCUUAUCAUCUCAAGUUUCUCACUGGAGAAGACAGUUUUCGGUUGCUGGAAAAGAGAGUUUUCGACAAUGGAAGGUGUCAAAAUGAUUUAGUAGAGCUUGGAAAGAGUAUUGCAAAUAAAUGUGGUGGAUUACCACUUGCAUUAGUGGUAAUUGCUAGAGCUUUAAAAGUUAUUCAGAAUGUAUAUGAAUGGAAAAGGAUUGAGAACAACUUUUGGCAGUAUGUUGUGAGAGAGAAUGACACAACAAGCUGCUGGAAAAUUGUGGAAGCCAGUUAUGAAAGUUUGUCCUCUGAAAUGAAAACGUGCUUCUUGUAUUGCCUAGCCUUUCCUAAAGGCUACGAUAUUCCUGUUCAGAUGUUGAUUCGCUUGUGGAUGGCGGAGGGGCUAAUAGAGUCGAGUCCAAUAAAUUUCUCUUCCUCUGAGGACAAAGCAGAUAAUUAUUUGAUGGAGUUUGAGAAUUUGGACCUUGUGAUAGUGUCGAGAGAGAUUACUGGUUCGAUAAAAAGGGUUAAAUGUAAUGAGAUGUUCUAUGAGUUCUACAAGAUGGAGGUGACUAAAGAAAGUGUUUUUCAAGAACUACGUCUCACACCUGAUUUUCCAUCGAUAAAUGAUCCAGAUACUUCUCGUCGAUUGCAUAUUGAAUCAUGUGAUCUGCCAGAUUUUAUCUCCAGAAUUUCCAGUGCAGAACAUGUUAGAUCUUUCUUAUGUUUUUCCUCGGAAGAUCUAGACCAACAAACCAACUUAUCCUCUCAUGUUGACAUUCAACUCAUCCGGAAAGCAUUUCCACUUCUCAGGGUUUUGAAAAUUGAAUCAAUCAACAUUCCCUCCUUGAAGAAUCUUAACCUACUAUUUCAUCUGAGGUACAUUUCUAUCUCAGGUAAUUUCAAGGAACUUCCUGCAUUCUUUAGUAAGUUUUGGAGUUUACAAUCUAUUAUAGUUAAUACAUCCCAGCCCACUCUCAACAUAAAAGCAAAUAUAUGGAACAUGCCAAAGUUGACGCAUUUGAAGACCAACAAACCUUCUAAAUUGCCUCUCCCUUCAACCCAAAAGGGAAAAGGUUCCUCCUCCCUGCUGCAAACUCUUUCUAAGAUUUCACCAGAAACUUGCAACAAAGCUGUGCUCGGACAGGCUUCGAACAGCCUCAAAAAAUUGAGUAUUCAAGGGAAAAUAGAAGAUUCUCUUCAAACUAACAGUGACCGAUUCAGCACUUUUGAAGGGUUUCAAACUUUAGAAAAGUUUGAGUGCCUAGAAAAUUUGAAACUGGUAAGUGAUGUUCCUUGCCAUACUAAUGAUUUUCAGUUUCCGAAAGCAUUAUUCAGAUUUCUACUCAAGCUUAAGAAGUUAACUUUGUCAAAGACAAUGUUUGAUUGGAAAGAUGCAACUAAACUAGGGCAACUGGAAUGCCUGGAGGUCCUCAAGUUGAAAACUGAUGCAUUCACAGGGAAGUCAUGGAAUCCGGAGAAAGGUGAUUUUCGAAAACUGCAGGUCUUGUGGAUUCAUAGCAAUGACCUCCAUACUUGGGAGGCUUCAGGAUCUCACUUCCCCAAACUUAGGGUACUUGUUCUUGAGUGUCCUAAGCUUGAGAGUGUGCCAGCUGAACUAUCUCAGUUUCAGCAGCAGAGUUAAUUAAUGGCCCUGAAAACAUGCUCCGUAAAGCAUCAAUUCUUAGCUCAUUUGUAUUUCUCCGGCGUGAAGCUGAUCCCAGGGACACUCAGUGAAGUUAAAAGGUCAGUUAAAAUUUAUUGUCUUGAAAUGAUUAUAAAUCUCCAUUUCCAUUUUACUUGGCUGCUGUUGCGUCCAAAUGCACACACAAGUCCUCACGGUCGUACAAGUAGUAUAGGAUUAUGAGUCCAAAUAUCGUAUUCACAGAGACUUCAUGUCCAUUAAACUAUAGAAUUGCGCGGUAGUUUUAAAACUUAUCUGAAACAGUACUCUCCUUUUUAUUGCAGGGAAGUUUGAUCAGGACACUUUGCUGGGAGCCCGGGAUCAUGGACAGAUCUCUUUAAUAUGGUCAUGUCACUGUGUCUCAUGCAUAUUUUCUGUAAUCUUGUAAGAUCAUUACAAUGAAGAAUGCUUCUUGUCUUUUGUUUAUUCAAGUUAAUAAUAAUAAGUCUCUCCAUGAUUUGACAUUUGGAUUUGUGUGGUCUACUAAAUGUUCAAAGACAUGUUAUGAAUCUCAAGUAUUUAGUAUGUAUAAUCUUUGUGAUGAUAUUGGUUAUUUUUAAAGAGUUAUAACUUAGAUACACUCGUUUGUGUAUCUUGUUUUGUUUAUAUAAUCAGAUCAUUUCCAACGCACGCUAACUUCAUCACCUAGUAAUAGCUAAUUACUCUGGGUUUACGUCGGUCAGGAUUACAGAAUAAAGGAUAUUCUUCUCAAAUUCUUCACGAAACGCAUAGGAGAUCAUGUCAAUGAGGAUGAGGAGACAUUAGCUAAGGUAAUAAGUGAUUUUACAAGUAAAAGAGGGAGAUGUCUAGCUCAUUGUGUGGGAAGCACAAGUUGUUGAUGCUAUAAAGAGAGUUUUCCUAAGAAACAAAAAGGGGCAUCGAAUCAUGACAGAUAUCUGGCUUCGUAUGCCAAUCCAUAUCCUCAUAAUCUGAAAUUCUUGAAUGAAAAUGGAAGUUUUGAAUUGUUGGUAAAGAGAGUUUUUGACAAAGGAAAUUGUCCUGUUGAGUUAGUUGAACUUGGACAAACCAUUGCACGAAAAUGCAAAGGAGUAUGUACCACUUGAAAUAGUGCUGAUUGCAGGACUAUUAAGAAGUCGUUCGAACAAAAGCGACUGGGCAAGAACUGAAAAAAAUGUGUCCCAAUAUCUUUAUAAAGAGAAUAAAGAUUGUGGUACUGUAUUUGUAGAGAUGAGUUACAAUCGUUUGCCUCAACAAGUGCAGAUGUGCUUUUUGUAUUGUGGUGUCUUUCCACCGGGCUUUGAUAUUCCUUGUUUAUUGAACUUUUACAUGAUUCCAACUUUCAACCAACAGGCCCUAAAGUUUAUUGAACUUUAAGUGAUUCCAACUUUCCAAUGCUCUCUAACAAAGACGGUUAUGUACCCAUAACUAAUUACUUUGUUGUUACUAUUAUUUAUAGUAAUAACUAGCUAGCAAUGUGAAAUGCAGUUUUACCAGAUUCAGAGAGUUAGUUAAGAAAAUUGUUAACUAAUUUACAGCCUUUAAGUAAUUAGUUGAUUAGCCAAUCAGAAAGUUAGUUAAGAAAAUUGUUAGUAUAUAUAUAUGUACACAUCUGCCCUGACAAUGUCGAUUCUGCAAGAAAAAAUAUUUUAUCAACUAGACGAAAUUAUGUCGAAUUUUGACAAAAGGAUGGAUGCAACACUAUAAUAAAAGAACCUUUUGUGGCGACGCAAAUCUCCAUAGAAAGUCAAAAUAUCGCCACGAAUAACCUGUCGUGGAGACCCAUGGGUCGCUCGCUAUACUAAGUGGUUGAUACUUUUCUGUGGCAACAACAUAAGUCGCCACCAAAGGUUUAAUUUUUUGUGGCGACUAAUGCCACCACAAAAAUGUAUUAAAUUUGCCACAAAAACCACCCAACAAAAAAGGUAAAUUAUUGGAAAAAAGUGAAUAAUUAUUUUGUUUUUAAUUCAAUUAUUUAAUGACAAUUAUAAUACUUUCCACUUUUCAGAUACACCUAUAACGUUGGAAGUGAGAGGUGCUUACCAUUCGAGCAACUCUCUCUUGUUUGUCAUUAUUUAUUUUAUUUUUAAAUUCAUUCAUUUUUUUCAUAUUUAAUUUUUAUAGAAAUAAUAUAUUAUAUCAUCAUUUAUACACAUACACAAAUGCACGAAAUUUACCACCCACAUUUCAUUCAAAUAUAGAUUAGAUUUGAUGUCUAUCAAUAACUGGCAAAAGUUUGCACCAUAGAUUUUUCUCAAUACAAACCCCAUAUUGUAUUUGUCUUAUAUGUUAUGGUACUAAAAGACUAAAUAGCUGAAAGUCAACCUCUUCUUAUUUUUACAUUAACUAAAUCAAAGAUGUACACAAGUGUUUGAUAUGAGAAAAAAUAUUUUUAUAUUUUCUCAUUUUGGUGGGUUUAUAUGUUUGUGUAUGUGUACAUAUAAAUUUCACUUAUAUCUUAUUUUGUAUUAUCUAUAAAGAUAAAUGAGUUUUAAUUGUCACUAACAAAAUAUUACUUAAUUAUUAUUUAAAAUUUACUUAUCCUACAAAUAAAUGAUUUUUAAAAUUUAUUAUAAAGUCCACUACUAUUCUUGUUAAUUAUUUUUUGUAUUACAUGAUUGAAACAUGUUUAGACAGUUAUAUUUGUUAUUUUACUUAUCUAAAUGUAUAUUAGAGUUUUGAUUAUUAUUAAUUAGUUAAUUUUUUCUUAUUUUGCUUAUGUAUGUUAGUAUUGAACAUCAUCAACUUAUAUAUACUCUGUUAGUAUUUCAAUAGAAUUGAUAAUAUGCGGUUAGUAUUAAUACAAAAAGAAAUAAUGGAUAUAUAUUGCUUUUGAAAAGAAAAGUAAAUAUUUCAAAGUAGUUAGUUUUAAAGUAUUUAAUAUUUAUUACUACAUUAAAAGAAGUUAAGGAUAAAUUAGUGAGUAAAAUCUCUUAUUAUAAUAAUUAAAGGUCGUUUAAAAUGAAAAUGUGACAACUAAAAUAUGAUGAAUAUAGUAUAUACAUUUUUGACUAAAAUAAGUAACAAAAUAUAUGAAACUACUCAUAAUGCUUCAUAAGUAAGUCUACCACUAUUAAAACUUUUUAAUAUAUAAUUUUGAAGGAGCUAAAUUAAUUAAAAUAGGAUGGAAGAAAUAUCAAAUUCCUAUAAAUACUUAUUUAGUACAAAUAAUGGACGAAACACAUUAGUAAUAAAACUUUGAACUUACAUCCAAAAUCUUUAUAAAAACGAUAGAAUUAGUGGAGACUACAAAGUUGCCACCAAUCCUCUUGAGUGACGAUGAAGUAGCCACCAAAAGACCUUUUAUAUCGACAAUUUCUUCGUCGCAACCAAUUAAUUUUUCAGUCAUAAUUUAGUAGGAUUAUUUGUGGCGACGGUGAUUAAGUCGCGGCUAAAUCUAUGCAUUUUGUGGCAACACUUGUCACUGAUGAUUCAUCUCUUUUUGUGGUGAUGAGAUAAGUUGUCACAAAAGCUCUGAUUUCUUAUAGUGCAACCGGAGGACUUCCCAAAGGGUUACCUAUCUUAGUAUUUUCAUUCAAGCUCGCUAAUUAACUUCGGGGUUCUGAUGAAAUUUUAUGUGUUAAGUACUAGUAUGAUCACAAUUCACUUCACCAUUCCUCACACUCUAAAUUCUAUUAAGCUUUUUACCUCUCCUAAGCCUCCCCCCCCCNNNNNNNNNNNNNNNNNNNNNNNNNNNNNNNNNNNNNNNNNNNNNNNNNNNNNNNNNNNNNNNNNNNNNNNNNNNNNNNNNCCCCCCCCCCCACCCUGCACGCACCACCAUAUGGUACCGCCUGUCAUAUCCAUUCUACGCGUCUCUAUCACCUGUCCUGAUGACAUCUCGAUCUAGUCACUAUAUAUCAUUUCUACGAACAAAUAUAUUAUUAGAUAGAUAAAAUUAUGUCAAAUUUCGACAAAAAAAAAAGAGAGGAUGUAACAUGAGUUCAAUUGCUAAAUGACUUUAAAAAUCAAAACCUGUUAUUUUAUUCAUUGGAUAUGCUUAAAUAUUAAGAUUAAAAAUACAUAGUUGAUCUAGUAAUUUGACUUUGUGUAUAAUCAUACUCAGAGUAUAACCCAGGGAAAAUGCAUAAGUACCCCCCCAGCCUAUAUCCGAAAUUCCAAAGACACACCUAACCUUUACUAAGGUCCUAUUACCCCCCGAACUUAUUUUAUUUGUAAUAUUCUAACCCUUUUUGGCCUACGUGGCACUGUCUUGUGGGCCUAGCGCAUGUUGAUAUUUUUUUUCAAGGAUAGUGCCACGUAGGCCGAAAAGGGGUAGAAUAUUAUAGAUAAAUUAAGUUCGGGAGGGUAAUAGGACCUUAGUAAAGGUUAGGUGUGUCUCUGGGAUUUCGGGCAUAGGCAGGGGGGGUACUUAUGUAUUUUCCCUAUAACCCAUGAUCAUCACAAAGUUGACCUAGUACACCUUGUCCCCAUUAUAUCACACGUUCUCAAGUCGUUGAACCUCUAUAAAAUAAAAAUAGUGUACAGCUAGUUAUACUUUGUUAUUUUAUUUUAUUAUCAUAACUGGCAAUGUGAAAGGCACCUUGUAAGAUCCAAUUCUAGCUGUAAGUAAAGUUAAUAAAUUGCAAAUGAUGAUGCUACUUAUAAUUAAUUUAUAUAUAACCUCCAAUCAUGGACUUAAUUCAAUUAUUAAGCCAAAGUCAUUAUAUAGUCAAGUUAUUCCUGUGAAUUGGUUGUUGUUUGUUAAUUUAAACUUCGUAUGUGGUCAUAUGAAUUCUAUAUUUUAAAUGCGGCCAGAACAUAAAUUUAUAUAUAAAAAUUCACUCAAAGAACAAUAAUAGUAGAUGAUUUUCUUAAUUAAACAAAUAUAGGUCUAUAGUUAACAAAAAUGAUAUAUAUAUAUAUAUAUAUAUAUAUCAGUUAUUAGACGAUUUAGACCUAUAUACAUCAUUUUGUUAACGAGAGGUAUAUUUCCCCCCUUUCCCAAAAAAGUUUGCAAGUAAAUAUCCCUAAUCUAGUGUAUUGAGGCAUAUUGAUGUUAAGGUAGUUUCUUUUCUAUCUUUUUUUUUUUUUUUAAAUUUUCACCUGAUAUUUGAUAUCCUCAUUGGAGCGGAGCCCGAUUCUUUUGAUUACUCAGAACUCGAACAUGAGACAUUUGAUUAAGAGUGGAGCAGUCAAACCACUGUACCACACCCAUGUUGGUGCCACUAUUUUAUUUUUAAUAUAUAGAAAGGAUAAAAACUUCGACAAUGUGGAGGACUAGCUCCACAAUUUCUAAUUUUUUUAGGAGACUUUUGAUCAUGUAAUUUUUUUUUCUUUGGAGUUGAAUUUUGAGAAACAUAUUUGAUCAUUUUAUUUUUUAUUUCUAAAUAUGUAAUGUAAAUUAUUUCUAUUCAUUCUCACUAGUCACGAUCAACACCUAAUGAGCUAAUACCUCCCUUAGAGUUUACCAUUAUCAAGUAAAUCAUUCAAAAGAAAAUAUAAUUCAUUGUAGAUCCAAAUCAUGAAUACAUAUUGUUAGCUUAAUUCAACGAAAAGUCUAAAUAUUCCAUAAUUUAUUUAAACGAUCAUAUGUAACCCAACGAAUAAACACAGUCAAGAGACAUCUAAUAGAAACUACAUUUAAAAGCAGAAGCCAACCAUGUGUAUGCUCAAACUUGAAAUAUUCCGAGAUAAAGUGACGACAAAUAUAUUUAUUUCAUUGCUUUGGACUUUUUUUUGUUUGUCCAAACUACGAAUAGUUCGUUGCUUUGCACUUAUAUUUUUCUUCCAAGACUUGAAAGUAUUUUUGUUUGUAUUAAUUUACCAAUGAAUGGACGAAAUAUUCCAAAACUUUAAUGUAGUUGUUGGUAGUCCUAGUCAUAACCUUACAUGGAAUGCCACACUCAAUUGGGCACAAUAAUUGAGUCUUAACUAUUAUUUAAAGCAUUUUCUCACUUUUUGAGUUAAUUGUUUAUUGAUUAUCGCUUGUUGUUUUUGCUCCUUUCUGAUAGAUUUGGCACCAUUUUAUGUUGUUUACUAUCUUUUCUUUACUGUCACCCUUUUUCUUCGCUUGAGCGGUUGAGCCGAUGGUCUUUUAGAUUCCGUUUUUCUAUCUCUAUCAUGUAGUGAUAAAGUUUGCUUACAUUUUAUCCUUCUAAAAUCAGUUUAUGAGAUUUAACUGGAUAUGUUGUUGUUCGCUUUUGAAUUAAUUUAUCAGAUUGAAUUAGAUUUAAUAUUUCUUCUGUAUCAAUUUAUGUCACACCUUUUAAUUUAUUGGAUUGAAUUAAAUUUGACUUAGAAUCAAGAUCUAUUUCUUUACUUGGUAUCUUAUCAAAAUUCAUCUCAAUUUAUUUUAUCUUACUGAUAAUAGAUUCCCAAAUUAAAUUACACACACCAUAUAUUUAGCGUUGAACAUAAAAAAGGAUGUUAAAAUUUUUCAUAUCACAUGAAAAAGAGAUGAAUGAUCUCCUUAUAUAAUAAUAUAUAGCUUAGACAAUUUUUCCAUAAGAACUUAAAAAAAUAAUAUCCAAAUUGCCAAGAAACUACCUUAUAAAUAUUGAAUUGCCAGAGACCAAUUAAUGGUGUCCACUUGCAAAUAUAUUUAUGAAAAUUAUGGGCAAACAACUAGCAUUAUUAUAUUAUAUUUGUUAAAUUAUUGUUACCUAGCCGGUGCAUUUAAAUUAGAAUUAAGAAAGACUUGACUUAAAAAAAUUCAAAAGUAAAGUCAACUUAAUUUUUCAUUUUACCUUUGUUCAUAUAUACUGCAACUAUCUUCGAUGAAUUAGUGAACCUCUUCUUCCCUUCUCUUAUCUCAUUUGUAAUCCAAUUUUGUAACAUCGAUCCAAUGGCGGAUGCUGUAGUGAAUUUUCUCGUUGAGAAUUUAUUGCAGCUGUUAAGCGAAAAUAUAGAUCUGAUAAAAGGCGUAGACGAUGAAUUCAAAAAUUUACUGGAAGAAGUGCAACGCCUGAAAGCAUUCCUUGAGGAUGCUGCUAAAUUCCACAGCGAGAGCAGUUUAUGGGAUCAAUUGGUGAAAGAUAUUCAAAAAAUGGUACAUAAAUCUGAAGAUGUAAUUGAUAAAUUUCUGGUUCAAGCAAAGCUUCAUCGAGAUAAGAAUAAAGUUGGAAGAUUCUUCGAUGUCCCUCAUAUGGCUGUAGUUAGGGCUCUUGCAGCUGAAAUUAAAGGGAUUCAUGAGAAGGUGAAGAAACUUCGAGAAGACAACAAAGACUCAUUCAAGCCUAAACCAAUUCUUGACGUCCCCAAAAAAGGGCACGAAGUAACCCAGGUAUACUAAAAUCCCCAAAAAAAAAUUCUCUUUUGACACUCUUUUCUCUUUAGUCCGUGAAUAUUAUUACAUUUGCCUAAUUUUUCAACUUCAUGAUCGGUCAAAUACUACCAUAUAAAUUGAAACAAAAGAGUAAUUAUGAAUUCAUAGUGUUUUUUUUUUAUAUAUAAUUUUUAAGUAUAGAAAUUUUAUUACGCAAGACGUAAAGCUUACAUAUGUGAGUUCAUGAUUAUAGUUUAAAGGCAAAUACAUAAAUAUGCCUCAACUGAUAUUAGAUUAUUCAAAAAUUAAACAAAUAAACAGGCAUCUAAGUCAGGUGUGAGGCACAACUAGUCAACUACUACUAGUUGUGUGAGACAUUUUUUAAUUAGAAUUAUAAUGUUGCUUGUGAGAUCCACCAAUCAACUCUGUUUCUCUUCUCUUCCCUCGUUUUUUUUUUUCCACAUUUUCUGUUUUUCUCUAUUUUAAAACCAAUUUUGUUACUCUCUUAGUUUUGUUUUUAUUUGGUCCGCUACAUAUAUUUUUUGUUUUAUUUGUUUAACAAAUUAAAAGUAAAUAAUAUUGUUAUUAUUAAAUAACUAUAUUAUAUAUUAGUAGUCAUAUUUUUUAAUGUUAGUAAAUUGAAAAAAAAAUCCAAUGUCAGAAAAUUUGGGGAAGUUUUUUCAUGAGAAAAUAUCUAAUAUAACAUUCUCAAAAAGAAAAAAAUUAAAAUGAUGUUAUCAUUAAGUGUAUAGCUAUAGGUGUGUACACAGUACGGGUCUUAAUUUAAGUGUCUAAGUGAAAAAAUGACGUCAACUUUAAGUCAGUGGUGUGGCUAGAAAUUUUACUAAGAGUGUUCGAAAUCAUAGCUAAUAAAAAUAAUUUAAUGAAUGACACUUAAAUUUUGUAAUUCAAACUACUUAACAUUAAUGAUUAUUUUUUAAAAUAAAAAAUAUACCAAAAAUUUUAAAAUCAAACUACAUAAUAUUUAGCUUAAUGUUCAGUUUAUUUGAUAGGAACUGAACAGACAAAAAAAAAAAGAGAGAGGAAAUUCAGUUUAGAGUGAAAUUACUUUUAUGCUUCAAGAUUUCACGAACCUCUGAUGACUAACAACGAGAAAUGAAAAAUAAAGAGUAGAAUCAAACGAGUUAUAUUAAAAGAAAUUCUAUAUGGAGCCUUUUCACUUUUAGUAGCUUUAUGGAAGAAAGAUAAAGAAAUAAGAUUUGCUUAUUAACUUUAAAUUAAAUAAUUACUUUUAAAUUUUAUUUAAAUUUUUAAUGAAAAGAAAAAAUCAUCAAAAGUCAAAUAAAAGAUUUAUUAGUUUUGAAUUAUUUUUAAAUAAUAGAUUUAUUAACUACGAUUAAGAAAUUAAUUAGGAGCUCUUUUGAAAAUGUAAAAAAAGUCCAAUAAGGGGAGUCAAACUCGCGCACAAGAGGUUGCAAAGGACUUAGCUUGAGCUGAAUGAGUGAAAUCACUAAGCUAAGAAAUUUUAUUGUUUUUUAAGGGUGUCCAAAAUUUGUUAUUUAACCAUUUAAAAUAUCAUUUUAUAUAUGAAUACGGUGUAAUUUCCGACGAAGGGUGUCCAAUUGGACACCCUAAGCUAUGGGUAGCUACGCCCCUGCUUUAAGUAUAUGUCAAUGGGUUCAGCCAAAUAAUAAUCAUAACAUUUUUGGUUUUUUUUUAAUAUGUAUAUAAACCUUAAAUAUUUGUGGAGUUUAAUAACAAUUGUCGGUGUUUCACUAUUUUUUAGGUAUAAAUUUAAAAUGUUUGUAUUGAAGAUUUAUUUUACUAAAUUAGUUUUAUUAAUUAUAUUUUGAAAAUUUAAAUUUAAUAACUAGUACCUUAUAUAGUUAUAUAAGGAUAAUAAUAGUAUUAAUUAUGUUUCUUCCAUUUAUUUGAAAAUUUAAAUUUAACUACUAGGACUUUAUAUAAUCUUGAAGGAUGCCUUGUUUUUAGAAAGUUGCUCUAGUGGUUUGCUUCGACUCCAUUCAAUCUUUUCUGCGUGGGCUUGUACAGAACCGUCCACUUGCUCUAUCAUCAUCAAGACUAAAUCUUUAGACUCCAUAACAUUAUACAGACCGUAUAAUCAAAUUUAGGUGUUGAAGAGCGAAUGAUUUUUUCUACCAUACACAUUGUUUACUUCUUCCUCGUACCUUCUUAUAUUGGUUCACAAUAGCUAGCCAUCACUCUUGAACAUAAGUUCGAACAAAAUUUGAAUUCUAUUAUUUUUAAAACUUCAAAAUAAGUUGAAAUUUUACCUUCUCUACUUUAUCAACUCCUUGGAAAGAAUUUGUAGAAUCUCCCAAGCUUCCUUUGAGGUGGUUGUUUCAGCCACCUUCUCACACAUGCCACCAUCCAAGCAUUGGUGGAUGAGAGUGAGGGCUUGCGUAUCUCUUUUUCAUGUCUUUAUCAAGACAUCUUACUCAUUUUGGGACAUAAUUUUCUCAUUGGCGGGUUUUGAUACCCGUUGUCUACAAUUUUCCAAACAUUUUGAGAGCCUAGAAUGACUUUCUUUUUUAGUUUAUGUUUUAGCUCUCACACAUUACAAACGAUAGGCUACUCUUCAUGCAUGCCACUUGACAUUGCAGUCAUUUAGGUUCCAUGAAAUCAAUUGCUGAUUGUCAUGUUUGCGAAGAGUUAUAUCUUAUCAGUUAUCAUGGCAUUGGAUGAAGUUUAGAAUUUUAUAGUUACAAUUGCAAAAAUUAAGAAUAUUAUCUGCUCUGGUUUCUAAUGCAAUCCGUUUGAUUAUUAUGUUAAAAAGGGUCCUUCUUUGGAUGAUGAUGAAGUGGUUGGGUUUGAUGUGGAAGCUGAGAAAGUGAUCAAGCGACUUGUUGAAGGACCAGCAGAAAGUCUGAAUAUUAUUCCAGUGGUGGGUAUGCCCGGACUUGGAAAAACUACACUGGCAAGAAAAAUCUACAAUGAUUCUACACUUUCAUUUGAAUUUUUCAGCAUCCUUUGGGUUUAUGUCGGUCGGGAAUACAAAAUAAAGGAUAUUUAUCUUAGGAUUCUCAAACAUUUCAAAAACAGCAUAGACGAGUAUCUCAAUGAGGAUGAGGACAGAUUAGCUAAGGUAAUAAGUGGUUUUAUGAGUAAAGGUGGAAGAUGUCUCAUUGUUUUAGAUGAUGUGUGGGAAGCAAAUGCCAUUGAUCACGUAAAGAAAGUUUUCCCAGAAAACAAAAAGGGGCAUCGAAUCAUGAUGACCACACGUGACGGAUUACUAGCUUCUUAUACCAAUCCAGAUCCUCAUAAUCUGAAAUUCUUGACUACAGAAGAAAGUUUUGAGUUGUUGGUAAAGAGAGUUUUUGGCAAGGGUAGUUGUCCUGAUGAAUUAAAAGAAAAUGGACAAAAAAUUGCAGGAAGCUGUGGUGGAGUACCACUUGUUGUAGUGGUAACUGCAGGAGCGUUAGCAGGUCGUUCGAAUACAACUGAAUGGAAAGUAGUUGAGAGAAAUGUGAUACAAUAUGCUUUUAACGUGAAUAAAGAUUGUGGUGUAUUUGUAGAGAUGAGUUACGAUCGUUUGUCUCAAGAAUUGCAGACGUGCCUUUUAUAUUCUGGUAUCUUUCCUCGGGGCUUUGAUAUCCCUGCUUGGAAAUUGAUUCGCCUGUGGAUUGCAGAAGGGCUAAUAAAGCCCCAGCAGUCAUCCACUCUUGAGGAGAUAGCAGAGCUUCAUUUGAAUGAUCUUGUUCAUAGGAAUUUAGUGAUACUGUUGCAAAAGAGGUCUGAUGGUCAAAUAAAGACAUGUCGUCUUCAUGACAUGUUACAUGAGUUUUGCAGAACAAAGGCUGCUGACAAAUGGCUUUUUCAAGAAAUAUGUACAACAGUUGAUAACGCUGUUCCUUCUAUACAGGAUCCAGAUACUUGCCGUCGAUUGUGUAUUCAACCAUCUACUCUGAAUGACUUUCUCUCCACAAAACCUUCUGCAGAACAUGUCAGAUCUUUCUAUUGUUUUUCCUCCAAACAAAAACAAACUGACUUGUCUCCUAAUGACAUCAAACUCAUUCACAAAGCAUUUCCACUUAUGAGAGUCUUGGAUGUUGAGUCUCUCAAAUUUCUUUUCUCCAAAGACUUUAACAAUUUAUUUCAUUUGAGGUAUGUUGCUAUCUCAGGUGACUUUAAGGCCCUCCCUCCUACCUUUGGUAAAUUCUGGAAUUUACAAACUCUUAUACUUAAUACAAGUACCUCAGAGCCCACUCUUGACGUAAAAGCAGACAUAUGGAACAUGUUACAGUUGAGGCAUCUGCACACCAGCAUACCUGCAAAAUUGCCGUCCCCUACUAUCACCACAGGUAAACCUUCUUGCCUGCAAACUCUUUCUUUAGUUGCACCAGAAAGUUGCAAGAAAGAUGUACUGGCAAAGGCGUGUCAUCUAAAAAAAUUGAGCAUUCGAGGGCAAAUGGCGGCCUUUCUUGAAUCCAGGGGUGGAAUCAGCAAUCUUGAAGAGCUAAAGUGCCUGGAACAUUUGAAACUGUUGAAUGAUGUUCUUUACAUGAAUAAAACAGUUCAACUUCCUGCAGCAUUCUUCAGACUUGUACGUACAGUAAAGAAGUUAACUUUGGCAAACACAAGGUUUCAAUGGAGUGAGGCGGAAAAAUUAGCGCAACUGGAAUCCCUUGAGGUUCUAAAGUUGAAAGAAAAUGCAUUCAUGGGUGAUACUUGGAAGCCGGAGGUAGGAGGUUUUAGUAAACUCCGAGUAUUGUGGAUCGAGAGAGCAGAAUUAGAAACUUGGGAGGUGUCGAAUCUUAACUACCCCAUCCUUAGGAACCUUAUCCUUGUCUCUUGUGAUAAGCUCAACGCUGUACCAGUUGAGCUGGCUGGUAUACCUAAUUUUCGCGAGAUGAAGUUGGAGAACACAAUCAAAGCAGUCAAAUCUGCAAAAGAUAUACUGGAACUUAAGAAAUCUCAAGAAAUAAUAUUCAAGCUCAGCAUAUUCCCUCCUGAAUCUGAAUCCAAGGCCACACAGUAAAGUUGAAAGGUUAGUCAAAUUCAUUUGUAUUAUAGUAUGGCUAUAUGAUCUUUUGUUUCCAUUUGGCAUACAUUUUCCAUGACUCCAUCUAUCUCUAUACAUAUCUCAUUUAGUAGCCGUAAAACUAUAUCUUUUGUAAUAAUUUCAUUCUUCUAUUAUACAUAACAAUUUGUAGAACACUAAUUCCUUUCCUUAAAUUUUGAAUGCACUCUGCUCUUCUUUUUAUCUGCAACACUUAUCCUCUCUUUGUUUCCCUGUUGUUCUUGAACCAAUUUUCCUCCAUUCUGCAGUAGAGCAUCGGGAUUUCGAUCUGGGGUCAUGUGUAUGAUGUCGCGGCAUUUCAUGUUUUCUGUCGUCCAGUCAUCUGAUAAAAUUGUUCCAAUAAAGAAAACAUGUUUGCCUUUUGUGAUUUGUAAUAUGUUAAAUAAAUGGAGUACGUACUCCCUGGAGUUGUUGUUUUUUUCGAGUUUCUGAUCAGUUGGAGUGUUUCUUUUUUCAAUCGUAAGCAUGUUUGCUUCUUUCACUAUUCUGUUGUAUUUGAUUUGUUUCAGUGUAAAACAUACAGUUGCUUUGCCCCCAAGGCCUAGCUCAAGUGGCAAAAGGUGGAGGAUUUGUCGCUUAGGUUGCAGGUUCAAGCCCCACACCAUGCAAAGCGAAGCCCGGUAUUUAAGUGGAGAAGGGUAGAGGGGCGGGCCCAUUAUCCACCGAGUUUAGAAGGCUGUGAUUGGUCCAAAGGGCGGGUCACAGACGGAUUUCUCAGUUAUCAAAAAAAAAAAACAUACAGUUUCUUUUAUCUUUCAAUAAAAUGUUGUGUGUUUUGUUUACAACUUGGAAUCUUUCAGAUGAAUUCUAGUUAUUUCUGAAUUGGAAGGUUACAAGUUCAAAAUGCAAAUGUGCUUUAUGAUCUUUCCGUAAGAUUAGUUCAGACAAGAAAUAUUCAAAUUAUCCUCUAAUAUUCCACUUAGUGAAACUUGCUCUACUUCUAUCAGUUGCCACUGCAUUCAUUGAAAGAGCUUUUUCGACAAUAAAGUUUAUCAAGAAUGACUUGCGGAGUCAAAUUAGUGAUGAAUUUUCUAGUGGUUGGUUGAUGCCUCAUUUAGAAAACAACGUGUUUGAUAGAAUUAGUAAUAAGACAUUUAAAGUUAUGAAACCUCAUAGAAUACAAUUUUAUAAUACACGUAGGACACCACAUAGGAUACACAAUUGUCAUGUAGGACGUCACUUAGGACAAAUGUGUCUAUUUGUUCAAUUUUAUACAAGUUUAAGUGUCUACUUGUGCAUACCCAAAGUUAAAAGGCACGUUUAUGUAUUAUGAUAUUGAUUGUUUUCUCCAAGAUUUUUCACUUUGUCACAAAUCCCUUUGGUUUCAGCUGCAAGAGCCUUAAUUGUAGUGAUAUGACACACAUCAAAUAAUCUAAUUCCAACUUUAUUGUUAUCCCGUUGCAGCUUUGCCUGUACCAGAAACUUAUCAAUCAAAUAUUUAGCUUCAUCAUACAUAUCUUUUAUCGCCCUUUAUAUAAGCCAUUGGUCACCUCUAGCCUCCAGGCAUCUCAGAGAACUUCCCGUGGGACUUUGUCAUAGGUCUUUUCAUGGUUAAUGAACUCCAUAUGUAAGUCUCUCUUCUAAUUUCUUGGUAUUUCUCCACAAGUCUCCUCACAAGAUGAAUCAUGACUUUUGUAGUCGAUCACCCAGUCAUAAAUUCAAAUUGAUUCUAGUAAAUGGACACACCCCUCUCUCAACUCCAUCACUUUCUCCCAAACUUUCAUGACAUGGCUUAGCAACUUGGUAACCCUGUAAUUGUUACAAUUUUGGAUGUCAUGACUCCGGUAACUCUUCCCCUGCUCAUCCUGAUAAUAGUGCGUUUAACCUCAUCAACCUUAAUAUACCUACAUUAUUCAUAAUCCCAAUGUCACUCAGAGUGUUCCAAAUCACCCAGCAUAAUAUUUUUGUCUCCUUCUUUGUUCAAAAAUUUAUUGAAGUAAGCUUGUCAUUUUUAUUUAAUGAGAGUCUCUUCCGUUAACACCUUGACUUCCUUAUUUUUUAUCUAAGUCCUGAACUUUCCUCUUUCUCUCAUUUGCAGUUUUUUCUCUGCGUCUUUGUCCCUUAGCUAAGUAUACAAUCAUUCAAAGACGAGCGUCUUUGCUAUUGCAAUCGCUCUAACUUAAUCUUUGUCUUCGCCGCUUUAUAAAUUUCCUUAUGGGAUUUUGAGAAUAUACCCACUAAAAAUAUCUCAUGGUCCUGAUAAGGGGUGUACAAAACCGAACCGAAAACCGAAUCAAACCGCAAACCGAGUCAACUCAAAAAAAAAAACCUGACUAGUGGUUUGGUUUGACUUGGUUUGGUAUUGGAAAAAAAACCCGACUAUAUUUGGGUUGGUUUGGUUUUAACUAAAAAAACCAACCCGAGACCAAACCAACCCGACAUUAUAUAUGUAAUUUUAAAAUUUUAUUUAUACAUAAAAAUAUUUACUUUGAUAUAAUUUUAAAAUAUCUCUUAUACUAUUUCAUAGUUUUUAUCUUUUAAUAUAUUAUUUCAAGUUUAAAACUUAGAAUUCAGAAUGGUCCAAUAAAUAUUAUAGUUCAUAAAUGUUGAUAAUUACUGUAUAAUAAAACUUAAAUCAAAAUCAAAUUAAUACUAAUGCAAAAAGAAAAUCAUUUCAACACUAAGAAUGACAAUAAUAUUGAAUAUUUGUUCUUUAGUUUUACAUUGGUUUAGACAAUUAAAAUACAUAAUCUAAUUUUAAUUUUCCUUAAAUAUUUAGUAAUGUAACUAAUACUUAUUAAACUUAUUUUAGCAUGAUUUAGUACUUUUAAAUUAUGAUCAUUUUCAUUAUGACUUUACAAUAUUUAUUUUAUAUGAUGAUUUCAUUAUUAUUUUUUAUUGAAUAUUUUUGUGUCAUCAGUACUAAUCUCAUAUUUUGUGUUAUUUUUUUAAGUAAACACCUUAGAUAAUUGUAUUUUGGUUGGAUUAAAGAAAUAUUUGGAGCACAAGUUAAUUCUAUGCAAACAUUACCGAAAAAAUCCGAGGUUUAUUAGUUUGGUUUGAUUUAUAAAUUUAAAAAUUCGACACAAUGGUUUGGUUUGGUAUUUGAAAAAUCCGAACCAACCCGAGGUUGAAAAACCCGAAAAAUCCUAAUUUUAUUAGUUUGGUUUGGUUUAUAAAUUUAAAAUUUUUACACAAAUGGUUUGGUUUGAUAUUUGAAAAACCCGAACCAACCCGGUUAUGUACACUCCUAGUCCUGAUAAUGAACAAGCGUCCUAAGUAAGUUUGUCAAAAAUGAACCCAAACAUAGAUAACCCGCCUAGAAUUUUAAGGGUUGGGCUCAAGAUAAUUUGAAUUGGGUUCAAUCUCAUCCCAUUCAAGCCUAACCCAUUUUAUGAGAAUCCUCAAUUGAGCCCAAUUCAAUCUUUAAUUUCAACUCGUUUUAAAACUCUUUACUAAGAUAUGUUCCUAUAUUAAAGGUAUGAAUUAUUAUCUAUUUAAUAUCUUUUAGGAUUUAUCUAUCCAUUUGUUACUUUUUUUAAAAACAAAUCUUGAGCUAAAAUUCGAAUUGUGAUUAUAAAAGUUAAAUAUCACUAUGUUAAAAUUAUUGAGAUUAAUCGGGUCAAAUUGGGCGGGUCAAGACCCAACCCGAUUUCUAUUUCAACCCAUUUUAAUAUCUCCAAUUUCAACUCAACCUGCCCAUUUGACAUCCCUAGUCCUAAGUCAUCGGAUUGAUGAUGGAAUAGAAGAGAGAUUGAGUUUUUUUUUAUUCAUUUGGAUCGGAUUUGGAGAGGUAAAAAAUAGUGAGGUAAUUAUUUAAAAUCACGAGAUGCUUUAGAAUUUUAAAAACAUUUUAGGAUGACUUGGGCACAAGUUAUAGUAAUAAAUUGCAAAUAAUAAUGCCAUUUAUAAUUAAUAUAUAUAACAAUCAAGACUUGGAUAAAUUAUUAAGCCAAUGUCAUUUUUUAAUCAAGACUAAUUAUUGUAAAUUAGAUAUAAGAAAGACUUGAUUUAACAAUGUCUACUUAGUUAACCUCCUCCUCUUCAUUGCUAAAAAUAUCCUCUUCCUCUCGCAAAAUUUAGAAAGAGAUCGAUUGAUGAAUCGAUUCUAUGGCAGAUGCAGCGGUGAACUUUUUCGUGGAGAACUUGUUGCAGCUGUUAAGUGAAAAUGUGGUGUUAAUUGAAGGCGUAGAGGAUGAAUUCAAAAAUUUGUUGGAUCAAGUGCAACGCCUGAAAGCAUUCGUUGACGAUGCUGCUAAAUUCCAGAGCGAUAGCAGUUUAUGGGAUGAAUUGGUGAAGGAUAUUCAAAAAAUGAUACACAAACAAAAAAUACUCCCUUUGUCCCAUUUUAUGUGAGUUAGUUUGAUUCGAUACGGAGUUUAAGAAAGAAAUGAAGACUUUUAAAACUUGUGAUCUAAAAUAAAUGAUAGAAAUAUGUGUAGUUAUAAAUUAUUUCAUUAAGGAUAAAAUGAACAUUUUAAAACUAAAUUAUUACUUAAUAUAGAAAGUAAGUCAUACUGAUCGAGGGAGUAACAAAUAAAAAUAAAUAUAAAAUGCUUCAUGAAUUGUCUUUUUAGUUUAUGUUUUAGCUCUCACACACUACAAAGAGUUAAGAAAUCCUUUUGCAGUCAUGUUUGCAAAGAGUUAUAUUUAUGCUCAUGGUGGCAUUGCAUGAACUUUAGAAUUUUUAUAGUUAUAAUUGCAAAAAUUAUCCGCACUGUUUUUUAAUGCAUUCUGUUUGAUUAUUAUGUUAAAAAGCGUCCUCCCUUGGAGAAUGAUGAAGUGGUCGGGUUUGAUGUGGAAGCUAACAAUAUGAUCAAGCGACUUGUUGAAGGACCGGAAGAAUCACUGGAUAUUAUCCCAGUGGUGGGUAUGCCCGGACUUGGAAAAACUAUACUGGCAAGAAAAAUCUAUAAUGAUCCUAAGCUUUCAUAUGAAUUUCCCAGCAUCCUUUGGGUUAAUGUCGGUAGGGAAUACAAAAUAAAGGAUAUUUAUCUUAGGAUUCUCAAAUUCUUCACAAAACGCAUAGAAGAUAAUCUCAAUGAUGAUGAGGACACAUUAGCUAAGGUGAUAAGUGGUUUAAUGAGUAAUCGAGGUAGAUGUCUCAUUAUUUUGGAUGAUGUGUGGGAAGCAGAAGUCAUUGAUUACGUAAUGAAAGUUUUCCCAGAAAACAAAAAGGGGCAUCGAAUCGUAAUGACCACACGUAAAGGAUAUGUAACUUCUUAUCUCAAUCCAGAAGCUCAUCAUCUGAAAUUCUUGAGUAUGAAAGAAAGUUUUGAAUUGUUGGUAAGGAGAGUUUUUUUCAAGGGAAGUUGCCCUGAUGAAUUAAAUGAAGUUGGAUAUAGAAUUGCAGAAAACUGUUGUGGAGUACCACUUGUUAUAGAGGGAGGUAAUUGCAGGAGCAUUAGCAGGUCGUUCGAAUAGAACUGAAUGGGAAGUAGUUCAUAGAAAUGUGGCACAUGCUUAUAGCGUGAAUAACAAUUGUGCAUUUGUAGAGGUGAGUUACGAUCAUUUACCUCAAGAAGUGCAGAUGUGCUUUUUAUAUUGUGGUAUCUUUCCUCGGGACUUUGAUAUCCCUGCUUGGAAAUUGAUUCGCAUGUGGAUUGCGGAAGGGUUAAUAAAGCCCCAGCAGUCAUACACUAUUGAGGAGAUCGCAGAGCAUCAUUUGAACGAUCUUGUUAAUAGGAAUUUAGUGAUAUUGUUGCAAAAGAAGUCUGAUGGUAAAAUAAAGACAUGUCGUCUUCACGGCAUGUUACACGAGUUUUGCAGAACAAAGGCUGCUAACAAAUGGCUUUUUCAAGAAAUAUGUACAGCAGCUGAUAACUCUCUUCCUUCUAUACAGGACUCAGAUACUUGCCGUCGAUUAUGUAUUCAACCAUCUACUCUGUGUGACUUUCUCUCCACAAAACCUUCUGCAGAACAUGUCAGGUCUUUCUACUGUUUUUCCUCAAAACAAAAAACAAACUGAAUUGUCUCGUAAUGAAAUCAAACUCCUUCACAAAGCAUUUCCACUUAUAAGGGUCUUGGAUGUUGAAUCUCUCAAAUUUAUUUUCUCCAAAGACUUUAACCAAUUAUUUCAUUUGAGGUAUAUUGCUAUCUCGGGUGACAAUAAAGCCCUUCCUCCGCCCUUUGGUAAUUUCUGGAAUUUACAAACUCUUAUACUUAAUACAAGUACCUCAGAGCCCACUCUUGACGUAAAGGCAGACAUAUGGAACAUGUUACAGUUGAGGCAUCUCCACACCAACAUACCUGCAAAAUUGCCAUCCCCGACUAUCACGACAGGUAAACCUUCUUGUCUACAAACUCUUUCUAUGGUUGCACCAGAAAGCUGCAAGAAAGAUGUGCUAGCAAUGGCACGUCAUCUAAAAAAAUUGAGCAUUCGAGGGAAAAUGGUAGCUUUUCUUGAAUCCAGGAGUGGAAGUGGAAUCAGCAAUCUUGAAGAGCUAAAGUGCCUGGAACGUUUGAAACUGUUGAAUGAUGUUGUUUACAUGAAUAAAACAGUUCAACUUCCUGCAGCAUUCUUCAGACUUGCACGUACACUAAAGACGCUAACUUUGGCAAACACAAGGUUUGCAUGGACUGAGGCGGAAAAAUUAGCGCAAUUGGAAUCCCUUGAGGUUCUAAAGUUGAAAGAGAAUGCAUUCAUGGGUGAUACAUGGAAGCCGGAGGUAGGAGGUUUUAGCAAACUGCAGGUAUUGUGGAUCGAGAGGGCAGAAUUAGAAACUUGGGAGGCGUCGAAUCUUAGCUACCCCAUCCUUAGGAACCUUGUACUUGUCUCUUGUGAUAAGCUCAACGCUAUACCAUUUGAGCUGGCUGAUAUACCUAACCUUUGCGAGAUGAAGCUGGAUAACACAAUCAAAGCGGUCAAAUCUGUGAAAGAUAUACUGGAACAUAAGAAAACUCAAAACAUAGUAUUCAAGUUCAGCAUAUUCCCUCCUGAGUCUGAAUCCAAGGCCACACAGUAAAGUUGAAAGGUUAGUCAAAUUCAUUUGUAUUAUAGUACGGCUAUAUAUCUUUGUUUCCAUUUGGCAUACAUUUUACGUGACUCCAUCUAUCUUUAUACACGUCUCAUUUGGUAGAAUAUCCCGUAAAACUAUUUUAUUUGUAAUUAUUUCAUUCUUCUAGUAUAUGUAACAAUUUGUAAAACACUAAUUCGUUCUCUUACAUUCUGAAUGCACUCUGCAACACUUUUCCUCUCUUAGUUUCCCUGUUAUUUCAUUAACCAAUUUUCCUCCAUUCUGCAGGAGAGAAUCGGUACUUCGAUCUGGCCGUCAUGUGUAUGAUGUCGCGGCAUUUCAUGUUUUCUGUCGUCCACUCAUCUGAAAAGAAAACCUGUUUGGCAUUUGUGAGUUGUAAUGCACUAAAUAAAUGGAGUAUGUACUCCCUGGAGAUUAUUUUUUUUCGAGUUUCUGAUCAUUUGGAGUGUUUUCUUUUUUCAAUCGUAAGCUUCUUUCACUAUUCUGUUGUAUUUGAUUUGUUUCAGUGUAAAACAUACAGUUGCUUUUAUCUUCAAAUAAAGUGUUGUGUGUUUUGUUUACAAUUUGGAAUCAUUCAGAUGAUCAUUCUAGUUAUUUCUGAAUUGGAAGGUUUCAAGUUCAAAAUACAACCGUGCUUUGUGAUCUUUCCAUAAGAUUAGUUCAGACAAAGAAAUAAUAUUCAAAUUAUCCUCCGAUAUUACACUUAGUAAAACUUGGUCUACUUCUAUCAGUUGUCACUACAUCCAUUGAAAGAGGUUUGAUAAUAUUUCUAAUGAUGUAAUUAGUAUUAAGAUAUUUCAAGAUAUGAAACCUCGUAGAAUACAAUUCUAAUUACGUGUGUAGUUGCAUUUUCAAUUGUAAAACUAUACCACAUAGUUAUUUCUGAGUCAUAUGAUAAGGAUAAGGAUAUAGAGUCCUAGUACGUUAGUAUGUUUGAGUCAUAUACGUAGUUAUUUCUCUUCUCUUUAGGUCUCUUACGUUCAACAGACUCAUUUAUCUUCUAUACUUGUUCAUGUAUAAAUACCACACAUUGUAUCAAUAAUACUCAACGCUUUCAUAAUCAUAUACAACUCUUAUACUAUACGCUUCUUCACGUGUUUGGUGUUUAAAUCCCCCUUCUAAGUGGUAUAAUUAUCACUAUGUUUGUAAUAUAUACCGGGAUAUGAUUUCUAUCAUUCAGGGUGUUUUGUAUUAUUUUGAAGUCAUUUUAUGUUAAAAAUCAUUUUUUUUGUGAAGGAAGAAUAUUUUUACUUGGCAUUAUACAUAAAUAUGUUAUUUAACUUAGCUUCAGCUAGUAUCUACGCCUUUCAUAUCUGGGUGUGCACAAGUAGGCACUUAAACUUAUAUAAAAUUGAACAAGUAGACACAUGCCAUACAUGGCAUAAUACACGUAGGAUGCCACGUAGGAUACACAAUUGUCAUGUAGGACGCCACGUAGGAUGAAUGUGUCUAUUUGUUCAAUUUUAUAUAAGAUUAAAUGUCUACUUGUGCACACCCAAAGUUAAAGGAUGGCUUCUUAUGCCAAUCCAGAUCCUCAUGAUCUGAAAUUCUUGUCUGCAGAAGAAAGUUUUGAAUUGUUGGUAAGGAUGGUUUUUGGCAAGGGAAGUUGUCCUGAUGAAAUAGUAGAACUUGGAAAAAGUAUCGCAGAAAGCUGUGGUGGAGCACCAGGUGCAGACGUGCAGUAUCGGUAAUUGCAGGAGCAUUAAGAGGUCGUUCGAAUAUAACUGAUUGGCAAGUAGUUGAGAGAAAUGUGGCACAACAUCUUUAUAAUAAUAACCAAGAGAGUUGAAAGGUUAGUCAUGUUCAUUUGCUUGCACGGCUAUACUCUUUUCCUCCAUCUGCAGAAGGGAAUCAGGACUUCGAUCUGGGGUCAUGUGUAUGAUGUCGUGGCAUUUCAUGUUUUUUUGUCAUCCUGUCAUCUGAUAAUGUUGUGUUCCGAUAAAGAAAACAUGUUUCUCUUUUGUGAUUUUGCAUAGUAUCAAAGCCUAUAGGCUCGUGUCGAUCUGUGUUGUCUUUCAAAAAUAGGCUUCAUCUUGUUUUAGCCAUGUUACACAAGAGGUUCGGAUUUCUAAUCCACUGCUUUAAAGUGGUCAUUUUGUGUCACAGCCACCACAGAAGGAGGCGGAGUAGAUUUUUGGGUUGAGCCAAUCUUCUCCGGAGUCCUGUUGGAAAUCUUGCGGAAAGUACUUCAAAAGUAAAACCUGUAGAGAAUUAUUUAUAGCAUGAGGUAUGUAAAUAACACUGUCCUUAAGGAUGCUUUACCCAGUAUAUGUGUAUCUCCCAACAUUCAAUAAGCUCUUCUAGUAUUAAAACUAGGAGCACAAUGAGGAUGCAGCAAGUGUCUGAAUAAUGAAUAGUAUGGAUUCAUAAUCUGAACUUGAAACCUUCUGAUUUAAAAAUAAUUAACUCACGAUAACUCUUUGCGAUCAGGUAUCUGAUUCGCGAUCGUGAUGCACCAGACACCUGAAAUCUUUGCUACAGUACCUUAAAUGUUCCGACUAGUCUGAUAUCAUCCGAGCGCCUCCAGUCUCAACCCGAACCAUCUAACCAGGUCAAAAGUAUAAUACCAACUUAACCAAAUCCUAAAACAUGAAUUAGAACACAAAUACUAAAAAUGAAGGGUCAGGUUAUUACAAGAACAUGCAUUUCACUUGAAACUUUGUUUUGAAGUUUUUUGUGAGUGAAAGAAAAAUUCAUCGAAAACCAGUUUUUUGUACGGAUUCAUAAUUUGAACUUCAGAACCUUCCAAUUCAAAAAUACUAUAUUGAACUAGAACUCAUAAAGAUUCCAAGUGGGAAAUAAGGCAAACAUUUUAUUUGUUCGGAAUAACAGAUUAGUAGCACAAACUCUUCACAUUUGAUGCUGCACCAGCGUUGGAUUCUCCAAAAAUACACUAAUUUUAGAGAAUACAACACGCACCCGUUAACAAUUUUGAAGAGUCCAAGCAACAUAGAAUAACAUUCUUUCAACACAUGAGCCAUAAAGGCGCAAACUAUUAUACAACAACAACACAUGAAAAGCAACACUUCCACAAAAAUGAAACAAAGCAAAUACAACAAAAACAGAAUAAAAGGUGCAAACAAUUAUACAACUGAAAAACCACACACUCCAUAUACAUGAAACCAGGAUCCCAACAAGGUCGAUGUCUCGAUCCU